UUUUUUUUUUUUUGUUUUGUUUUGAAAGGACGGGGCCCUACUGCCCUUAUGCAGGAUCCAAAGCACAAGUUCUUGGACCAUGGAUGGAAUCAGGAAGUAAGUACACUGGAUGUCUCCCUGCAUGUGGGCUCAUGAGAGGCAUGCAUGACCAAGGGUUUCCAUGCAUUGGCAUCAGGCUUGCAUGAGGAACUGGACCCAAUUUAAUAUUUUGGGGCCCGGUCCAUUUUGGAUUGGAUUCAAUGUGUUCCAGACCAGACGGCUACCAUCUUGACCCUGCAUUGAGUUACAAGUUCAGUUUCCUAACAUUUUGACUGGCAUUCAGUGUUGCUGCUGUGCAGUGCCCAAGUCUCAAGGUUUCAGUACAGCCAUGCCUGCGCCAGUUUGGACUGGCUAGAUUCAAGAAGAAUCCAAAGCACAGAUUCUUCUCGGACCAUGUAGUAGGAGCCUUUGCAAAGUCAGUCAGUCCAAGGAAACCAAUCUGAAAGAACUACUAUGGAAAACAUAAUUUCAGGUCGUACUCUCAGAUCUCCCUUGAGCUUUUUUUUUUCCUUGAACGAAAAACUAAAUUUUUUUAGUGGUUGCUUAUAUCAAAACUGUUUCAGAGUGUUAUCUUCUUAGUGCAGAGUUCGACGGUUGAGGUGGUUAGUGCUUCAGAAAACAAAUGUAAGGUAAAUAUGCAAAGCUUGCAGAUUCAGGGGGUGUUUGGAUACACCCCACUAAAGUUUAGCACCUGUCAUAUCGGAUGUUUGGAUGCUAAUUAGGAGUAUUAAACAUAGGCUAAUUAUAAAACUAAUUGCACAGAUAGAGUCUAAUUCGCAAGACGAAUCUAUUAAGCCUAAUUAGUCCAUGAUUUGACAAUGUGGUGCUACAGUAACUAUUUGCUAAUGAUGGAUUAAUUAGGCUUAAUAGAUUCGUCUCACGAAUUAGCAUAGGGUUCUGCAAUUAGUUUUAUAAUUAGCUCAUGUUUAGUCCUCCUAAUUAGCAUCCGAACAUCCGAUGUGAUACUGCUAAAGUUUAGCACCUAUUAUCCAAACACCCCCUCAGUUUAUUCUUCUUUUUUCUUCAUAGUUCUUAGCCCUGCAUAACUGCAUUUAGUCUUUUUCAAAAUUUGAUCCACUCAACACAUGGAACAGAAGCAAUGAUUAACUCUCACCAUUCUGACUCACUUGGGCGGCCGGGAGGCGACGCCGUCGCCCCAAACGAGGCCUCGCCAGAUCUCCAGCUCGGCCACUGCCGUCGGGCCAGUGCCGACAUCAAGCGAUGCCGCGCGUGUCCUUCCCCUUCCUUCCCUUCUUCAUUUUCUUGUUGGAGCUCGAGCUGCACGAGGAUGGCUGGAUCCACGUCUGGGGAGGCCGGAUCCACUUGUCUUGCAUACGGAUCCGUGUCAUUCGACGUGCGAUUCCGGCAGUGGGGGCCUCCAUUGGCCGCUUGCAGAUGCAGGAGGCUCAGCUGCUGCUGCUGCCGCCGCGGGCGGUGGUAGCUCGGCCUUUCGGCGGCAGUGGUGGCUGCAUGGGCUGGCCACCGGUCAGCGGAUCCGCUGACAGGCGCGGCGGCGGAUGCUCCUAGGCACAGGGCGGGGUCCGUCGCGCGAAGUGGCUGUACGCGUGGGCGAGGAUGGCGGCGAGCAGCAAUCAGGCGUGGACGAGGAGGUGUCGUGAUGACGAUGCGAGGCCCCGAGGCGGCAAUGGAUCCAACUCCGCCUUGGCCAGGCCGGAUCUGGCCGCUCAUCCAUGGUAGGCCGCGGGAGGCAUGGCGGCGGCGGGAGUUGUCAGUGACACGACCGCAGUAAUGUGCAGGCGCGGGCGUGGAACACGGCCCUGGCGGUGGCUUGGUGCCAUGGCCGCCACAGCAGCACGAACAAGGGCGCGGCGGCGCGCUGCCGCGGAGGCAGGUCGCACGUGGGUUUGGAGCCUGUGGCGAGGUGGAUCUGAGGUUGGCGGCGCGUCAGGGCGGCGAGCCUGGGGCGUGGGCAUACAGUUGCAGCGGAUGAGGAGGCACGGCGGCAAAAGCCCUUACCGACAAUGUUGCUUGUGACGAUGGCAGCGGUGUCCUAGGGCGUCGUUCUCCCCAUUGGGACGUCAUGUUGGAGCUUUAUCCCUACUGCAUAUGGUUCUCUGGGUGAAAACCCUAUCCAGAUUCUAGACGAGCGAUGGCGGUGCCCUCCUUGGAGACGUCGUUUAUAGAGACACAACUCGGUUUGUGGCAAUACUGGUGACGCCGAUAGUCAUAGCAGUCUACUGCUGGUGGCGACGGUCCGCCGUGAUGGGCUUGCAAAGCGGCAAGGCGGCAUGGUGCAAGAUAGCAAACUUGAUGGGGGUUGCUGAGCUCACGUGGAGGUGAUCGUAGUUGUGGUGGCGGCUAGGGGUUGCCGCAUGGUUGUUGGGUUGGUUGCUUGCAGCGGACCGCGACUGGCGUUGCUUGGCAGUUGUCAGUGCGGCGUGGGACUACGUCCGAGGAUAGCGCUUGCAGCAACGACGUCGUGGGACGACUAGGCUUGCGACGGGUUGCUCAGCUAUGCUGAGCUACUCUGGUGCGAUACGUAGUCGGAAGACGGCGCAAGCGACUUCUUUGGCUUUCUGGCAUGGCGGCAGAGGAUAUGUGCGCGGGUUGAGCAACGAGGUGAAGUCAACCUGCGGCGGCGGCUUUUGUUGUUUGAUGGAGACCUUAGGUUCCGGGGCAACAUUGCUGCCAUUCUGGCGGCGACAUAUGAAACGGAUCCGUGACAUGCAGGUUUGUGGCGGACGUGGUAAGGCCCCCGCGCGUGGUGUUUCUUCAAGGCGACAAGAGCAAGAUGGAUUCCAACGCCAGAUGUGGCAAGGCCCCCGUGCGUUGUGUUUUCAUGGUGGCGAUUGCGAGGCAGCCUGCGAGAGGUCCGAAUUUGGUGGUAUCACUCUAUCGGGUGGAGUGUGAUGUUGCAACGGCACUACGACGAAGAGUCCCGCAUGGCGGUGGUCUUUUCGGUGCGGUGCGGUGCGGUCUGUUUCUCUCGAUUCUUGUCGACGUGGAGUCAGAGGUUCAGCGACUACAUGAGCGUGAGACUAUCGGGAGGUGCCGCGAUAAAGGCUUCGGCCCUACGCUGUUGCAAGUCGAGUGCUGUAGUGUGCUCUGCUGUCACUGUUUGAGUGGAGUGGUGCGACCGCGUUGAUAUCCCAAUCCAACCGAUCAGGUUUAGUGGUUUUGAGUUAGGUGGUUAUCCGCGUUGACAUCCCAAUCCAACCGGACGAGUCGACCAGUUUUUUCUCCUUUCUUUUCUUUUUCCAGUCUAUCACCUCCCUGAACUGUAGUUUUGUAUUUUUUCUGCUAUAUCAAUAGAAUUCUUGCGCGGUUUGUAAAAAAGAAGAAGCAAUGAUUAGGGUUGGUGGUGCGUCCCUAUUCGAUCAAUUGCUCCUUCCACGUAGACCUCUCUCUUAUAUUAAAAAAAAUUAUAAUCAUAGACCUGUCUCCAGCAAUUUCUUGUCAGUCUUUGGUUGCCCCUUGGCAAACAUUGCAGCUUAGAGCUUCCAGAGAAGCAAUGAUUCAGAACUGGCACGAGUAUUUGUUUAACUGCCACCCGUCUGCAAGCAGGAGCUGUUGAAGACACUAAUCUGAGUGUGAAAUCCACUGAGAAAAGUAAGACCCAGUUUAAGAGUUAAGACCAAAUCAUUCCGAAUGAUCGCCGAAAGCUUUGUCCUAACAAAGUACCCAGCUUUGGAUCGAGUUUGGACAGCACAAAAGCACGCAAGUGAUGUGACGCUGACCACUCAUGAACAAGUGGAUUGGUCAGUGUCACCAACCUUUUUCCCUUCUGAUCAUGCUGUUGCCGAAUGCCACAACAUCGGCAGUCGAAGAUCUGUCUAGUGUAGUCGAAAAUCAGAAACUGCUCCAAAAGACGUGAAAUGCUGGUGCGAUUUGAGUACUCCUCCGUGGAGACUGAUGCAGGCAAGGCAUGCUCCUGUAAAAAGUGAGCAAGUGCUUGGUGCCAUGGCUUUUCAUCAGUUCAUACCCUGCCUGGUGCCUGCAGCAUGGAGGCAGCACAGCAGCAUCUGCAGUCAAUCGAUGAGAUGAGAGUAGUUACCAUGAUGUACAAUUGACAAAUCAGUUUGUGCCGGCACUCAGAACUCAUAAAAAGAAGAGUACUGAGUACUAGGGAUUAACAGUGGUGAGCAGUAAUUUCUGGUAUGUUGGCAGUUGGCUUGAAUUUUUUUUUUCUACUCUGCCACAGCUACAAUAUGAACAUCCAGAAUGACGAAAAGGACCAUGAUCAUUGCGCAACGACACAUGCGUCAUGUCUGAAUGAUUGGGUAAGGCCGGUACGAGCCAACACAUGCGGUGCUUCCUAGCGAUCGCGACCGCGGAGAUCUGGUGCAUCCGAAGUAGACGGAGUUGGUUGUUGAAGUUCAUGAUCUAGUACUGGAGAUUUCUCCAACUCUGGUUUUGCAACCAAAUGUUUGUAAACACCUGAAUUCAUCUGAAACCUCGAAAUCCAGACGGAUCGUCGUUGGAACUAGUAUAACACCUGCAACCACAACCAUGCCAAGGGUUGCAGCCUGCUAGGCUAUCUCUGAUAGUCUGAUGCAGAAGUAGAGCUGAUGGUUCAGUAGGAAGUGCCCAUGACAGGUGGGUCCACACCGUGUCACACUGGAGAGAGGAGGCGUCAGGCAUGUGCUUGUGGUUGUGGGCGCCAUGCACGACCUUCACAGCUCAUAGUUUUUUGACCGCGUAACAGAAAAAAGUGAUUGGGAUGAGCGAAGGAAGCAUCUCCAGGUCAGGACGCGAGCAAACCAUAGGCCGAUCGAUCCUACCAUUGCUUUCGCUUCACUUCAAAGCUUUGGUUCCCUGCUGGUCAGCAACCAUAGGCUGUGAGCUGUGACAGCUUGCAAGUUGCUGCUAGGAUUUACCUUAUGAUAAUUUCCAUUAGAUGCGUGGUAAUCAAGGUCAAAGCAAAGCAUUUGUGGACAAAGACAGUAGGCCUUUUGAACAGUUAGUUGUUCAGGAGCAGCAUUCUGUUCCUGAGUCCUGACAGUACCCAAAAGCAUUCAUGUUCCAUCAGAUAUGGAGGCCUCAGGUGCUCACCUUAACAGAAUUACUACAAAGCAAACCUUAAGUAGUUAACAAACGUGAUUGCCCCAGAGUCCUAGGCUCCAAACUCCAUGAAUGGUUCUUCAGUUCUAUCAGGAAAAUGGAGAUCAUGGAGCUUGAUAUGUGUACUUCAACAAUGUCCUAAGACACAGCACCACACUAGAAAGAAAUUCAGGGGGCUAAUUUCACAUCCUAAAGCUUAGAUGCAGGUAAUUAAAUACUUUAAGAUAUCUGAAUUUCAUAAGUACACAGGCCUAACCACACCCCAACCAAACAUUAAGUGUGGGAUAAUCAAGGUCAAGGCAAGCAUUUGUGGAAAAAGACAGCUAGUAAUGUUACUAGGGUAUACUACUAUUGAACAGUUGUUCGGGAUCAGGAGUAGCAUCCUGUUCCUGUACAGUGUGAAGCAAGGAAAGGCAUUGCAUUAACUGACAAACCAAAGGCACCUUUCUUCUUGCCUGGAGACUUGAGUGAGGGCAAAGUACAGUACAACAUAUGAAUGUUGAGUUGCUUACCGUAACACAAGUACAGUUGUACAAAUCAAACAUGAUUGCUCCAUAAUCAUAGGCUUCUAACUCCCUACUAAGCUCCUGAAUUCUAACAGGAGGAUGGACAUUAGGAAGCUUGAUAUAUACAGAACAAUGUCCUAAUUAAGCCACACACACACACCAUACCACAAAUUCAGACCCUAAAGAUUCCACACCCUAAUCGACGAUGGCUGAAUAACAGGUACCUAAAUUUGACACCCUAAACUUGAAAUAUCCGAACUUUCAACAAAAGAAGGAUCGAUAACAGUUAAGCUCGACUGUUUUCAGAUGCUGAUGAGAUCUCGAGUUGGGGAGGACUGCGAGCUCGAUGGCUGUUUCUGCUGCUGGUGCUCUUUGGCUUCAUCAUUCAGUGCUUCAACAGAGUCAGCUGACACUGGAGGAUUGGGCGCGGCACCAUCAUCGCCGCUGGGAAGCUCAUCUCCUUGCCUCGAAGUUGGCUUGGGAAGCUCACUGAGCAUCUGCACCACCUCCCGCAUUGUAGGCCGCUGCACGCUCUGCUCCUCGACACAAAGCAGCGCGACAUAGAAGAUGUGCAUGACCUCGUGCACCGGCACAGUCGAAAGCCUGGGAUCCAUGAUCUUGAUCACCUGCUCCUUGUUCGAGUCCGUCAUCGUUUUGACCCACUGGACUAUGUCCACACCGUCCCCAAACUCUCCUACUGGCUUCUUUCCAGUGACCAGCUCAAGAAGCACGACGCCAAAGCUGUAGACAUCGCUCUUCUCAUCAACCUUGAGGGUAUAUGCGUACUCUGAAAAUCCAAAAGAAGGAUUAGUUCAUUUUAAAAAAGAGCUUCUCUACUCGGUGUAGAGGGAAAUUCUAAGUUUCUACGUCCGAAGAAGUGAAACAAACUUUAGAUAUAAAGCAGCAAUUCAGUGGGUAAGCAGAAUGACAUAUAUUCAUUAGCUAAACGUGACAGACAUGACUAAAUGGAGACAACUAGUAACAACUAACAACACAUUUGCAUUGUGAGAGCAUCGCUAUUCGCUAAGCAUCAAAAUCAAUAAUUAGUAACUGUACUCCUAAUUUAAUCAGCAGACAGCAAGAAUGAACUUAGAAUAGAGAAUUACCAAAAACUCCUAUACUGCCAAAACUUCUGAAAAAAUUGCAAACUGUCAUCAGGAUAGAUCUUUUACCUGGAGCAAUGUAGCCGUAUGAGCCAGCAAUGGCAGACAUACAUUGUGAUGCGCCUGAGUCCUGCAAGAACUUGGCGAGCCCGAAAUCAGCAACAUGCGCUUCAAAAUCAGAGUCAAGCAGAAUGUUGUUCGAUUUCACAUCGCGAUGUAGGAUCGGUGGCGAGCAAUCAUGGUGUAGGUAACUGAGACCCUUGGCAGCCUCAACAGCAAUCUUGUACCGAGUGUCCCAAUGGAGGUGGCCACCUUUCUUGCCAUGGAGGAGCUCCCCCAGGCUUCCAUUCGGCAUGUACUCAUACACCAGGAGGUUAGUCUCAUUGUUCGAGCAGAAGCCAAGCAAUCUCACAAUGUACCGGUGCCGGAUCCUCCCAAGCGUCUGUAUCUCCGCAGAGAACCCAUGGUCAUGUGAAGAUCCACGGCUCAUCGCCGAAAGCCGCUUCACUGCAACAUGCUCACCAUCUGGCAUUGUCCCCUUAUACACAAUCCCAGCUCCACCUUUUCCUAUGAUGUUCUCCUCCUUCAGACUAUCGAGCACAUCGUCGCAGGUGAAGUCGAGGCGCUGGAACGCGGUGAGCCUCCACGCUCGUGCCUCGCUGGCCUUCUUCAGCGACCGGGCCUUCAAGAUCGCCAUGGCGGCAAACGCAAUUGAGCACACGAGCAAGCCAAGAACUAUGAGCAGCUUGAAGGUAUUGGAUAUGCCACCAUGGCUGCGUGCGCCAUGGUCCGUGCCAGCACCACCGGAAUGGCAUGGUCCGAGGUACGGCCCGCACAAGCCCGGGUUGCCGACGAAGGACGUGGCAUUGAAGUAGCUGAACUGCCCAGUCGCCGGCACGAGCCCGGACAGGUUGUUGUACGAGAAGUCCACGGCCGUGAGGCUCUGCAUUGCAGCAAUGGUUGCGGGAAUCUCUCCAUCGAGGUGGUUCCGGGACAGGUUCAGGUAGUUGAGAAUCCUCAUGCCGGAGAUGGCCGGCGGUAUCUCGCCGGACAGGUUGUUCCGGCUGAGGUCAAGGUAUGUGAGCAGCCGGCAUUUCCCAAUCUCCGGCGGCACGCCGCCGUCGAGCGAGUUGCCGCUCAGGUCAGCCUUGGACAGCUGCUGCAGCCGCCCAAUCUCCGGCGGUACCGCGCCGUUGAACGCGUUCUGGUCAAGGAGUAACUUUUGCAGACCGGAGAAAUUCCCGAUGGACGCCGGCAGCGCGCCGGUGAGCUGGUUGUUGGAGAGAGUGAUGGACCCAAGGUUGGACGCGGCGGCGCCGGCCACCGCGGGGAAGCCGCCGGAGAGGAGGUUGUCCUGGAGCUCGACCUGCACCAGAUUCGGGAGCUCGAAGAGGCCUUCCGGGAUGGAGCCGUUGAGGUAGUUCUCGCCGAGGCGGAUGCGGGAGAGCGCCUCGCAUUUCCCCAGCGACUCCGGAAUGGAGCCGAAGAGGAAGUUGCCGAGCGCGAUGAGGGUCUCGAGCUUGCCGCCGGCGCAGAGGUCCGGCGGCAGGGUGCCGGUGAGCCUGUUGGAGGAGAGGUCGACCAGCUGGAGGCGUCCGUUGCGGCCAAGGCGGCGCGGGAUGCCGCCGGUGAAGUUGUUCUCCCAGAGCUGCAGCACCUCGAGGCUGGGCAGGUCGCCGACGAGCUCCGGGAUGCUCCCCCGGAGCUUGUUCCGGAAGAGGUUGAGCAGGGUGAGGUUCUUGAGCGCCGCGAAUGUCGCCGGAAUCUCGCCGGUGAGCGCGUUGUUGGAGAGGUCCAGCGAGCUGAGGCUCCUGAGCCGGCCCAGCUCCGGAGGGAUGCCGCCGGCGAGCCCGUUCACCUGCAGGAACAGCGUGUCGAGGUUCGCGAGGUUCCCGAGCUCCGGCGGAAUCUCGCCGGAGAGCCCGCAGUUGGCGGCGUCAAGCCGGACGAGCUCCGUCAUGUUCCCGAGCUCCGGCGGUAUCCCCCCGGAGUAGCUGUUGUAGUAUCCAAUGUAGAGCUCCCGGAGGCUGGUGAGGUUGCCGAGCUCCGGCGGGAUCCUCCCGGAGAGCUCGUUCCCGGAGACGGCGAGGUACUGCAGCCUGCCCCACGUGCCGUACUCGGGCGGGAUCUCACCGGAGAAGAAGUUCCCCCCGAGGUGGAGGUGGCGGAGCGCCGGCAGCGCGGCGACCCCGAGCGGGAGCGGGCCGGUGAGGUUGUUGUUGUAGAGGUCGACCACCCGGAGCGUGCGGAGGCGCGCCAGCGGCGGCGGGAAGGUGCCGUUGAGCACGUUAUUGGAGAGGUUGAGGUGGGUGAGGUACCGGAGCCGGGCCAGCGGCGUCGGGAUGGGGCCGGAGAACGCGUUCGCGGCGAGGUCGAGCCGCGCGAGGUGCGGCAGCCGGGACAGCGCCGCCGGGACGGGGCCCGAGAGGUUGCGGCCGGAGAGGUCGACGCCGAUGACCGCGCCGCGCGCGUUGCACGUCACGCCGGACCACGCGCAGGGGCUGGCGGUGGCGUUCGCCGUCCAGGACGCCAGCGCGCCGGCCGGGUCCGCCAGCUCCGCCUUCGCCGCCAGCAGCGCGUCCGCGUCAGCGUUCACGGUGGCCGCCGCCGCCGCGGCGGCAGCGGCGGCGAGGAGGAUGGGGAGAAGGAGGUAGUGGAGGCGCAUCGGCAUUGCCAUUGGAGGUCGUGGCUCCGUCUCCGUCGGGAGAGUGGAGACAAGGGAGUGAGGUCGGAGAAAGGAGAGAGCUUUACGAUAGGCUGCUCAUUCUUGGACGCACAGGCACAGCAACACACACACACUGCCACUGACACACACCUACUCGCGAGGCCGCUAGUGGCUAGUGCUAUAAAAAAAAGGCAUGUGAGUGUUUGUUGGAUUUUCUGAAUUCUUUUUCACAUGAUAAACUUGUCUUUUGUUUCAAGAUUUGGGUUGGCUUUGUUCGUGCCAUUGUGUGGGGGGUUUCUUUUCUUUUUUGGGAUGGGACAGGUGUGGUUUGUUAGUUGCUGUGGAUUCUUGUGUUGUGAAAAGUUGCUUUCUUUCUGGGUUGAUAGUGUUCAAGCUUUUUCUCCUGUUUGAUGGAGGGCAUGCUGUAACUUGUCAGCAACUUAGAGGUAGUUAGAAAGUUGGUAAAGAAAGGGAGCUAAAUCUACGCAAAUUGCUCAUAUUUGGUUGGGUGGCUAAAAAUAGCCUAGUUUGCUAUACUCCUGUUUGGUUGGCUGCAUAAUGUGACAGGAGAACUCUGUAUUUCCUAUAAGUGGAGUUAUCACCGAUCAUCUCUCUUCUCUCCUCUUCCCCAAUCCAUCCCCGAUUUCACAUGUCGCUACUCUGUGUCGCCGUCGCAGCCACCCGCUUCCGCCGCCAUCGGAAGAAGCUGGUGAUGGCGGGGAGGAGCGGCUGCCGCGUUGUCCGCGGUGGGGGCACCGCGCGCCGGAGGUGGAGGAGGGCGAGGGGCACCGGGUAGAACUGCUAUGGAAGUACCUCCACGACCAGAUGGAGUUCUGCUGCCUGGCACCUCCACCCGUCAUGUCCCAUUCUCUCCUCCAUGUUCUGUCCUUGCUUCUAUCUUGACGCGCCCCGCAGCCGCCAGCUCCGGCGAGGCUCAGUCGAGUCCGAAUCAAGCUCGAGCAUAACCAAAUCAAGCUCCAGCUCCAGUGAUGAACCUCCUCCCGCGGCCCCAGGAUGACGCGCUCCCGAUCCGAUUCCUCCCGCUCUGCUUCCCCUGCGCCGGCCAGCCUCCCACAGGGCUGCGGGAGCCUCGAUGCGCUCCCGGGCCUCGCCCUCGCUCUGCUCGUCGCGCGCCUCCGGGACGAUGCCACCAACCCUCCGACGAGUUGCGUCGUCUCCAACAACGGCCACCCGUGGAUAGCCUCGUGGUGAACAGCUUCGUGGAGCUUAAGCCCAUCUUUGUCGAUGCCUACAAGGCGGCUAUCGCCGAGAAGAUAUGGACCAUUAGGCCUCUGUUCCUGAUGAGCACCGUGCCAUUGACGGCGACCAUGGACGACACCAACGCCAUCCAGUGCGCGAGCUGGAUCGAAUCCAAGAAGCCCCAGUCCGGGGAGUUCGUGAGCUUCGACAGCCGGGUGCGCUCGUCUCUGCUGCAGCUCAUUGAGAUCGCUCGCAGGCUGGAGGCGAGCAGCCGGCGAGGGGCGCCUUGUGAUGGGAGCGACGAGACGGUGGCGGAGGAGGUGGAGUAGUGGAUGAGGUGAGGAGAUAGGAAAGCUACUGGAGGUGACGAGAAAGCAGAGCCAUGGCUAAACCAAGCCUGCAUUGCUGGAAGCGAAUCCCACUGCUGUUUCCAGUAAGGGGGUGUUUGGAUAGCAGGGGCUAAAGUUUAGCCCUGUCACAUCGGAUGUUCGGAUGCUAAUUAGGAGGACUAAACAUGAGCUAAUUAUAAAACUAAUAGCAGAACCCCUGGGCUAAAUCGCGAGACGAAUCUAUUAAGCCUAAUUAAUCCAUCAUUAGCGAAUGGUUACUGUAGCACCACAUUGUCAAAUCAUGGACUAAUUAGGCUUAAUAGAUUUAUUUCGCGAUUUAGCCUAGGAGUUGUGCAAUUAGUUUUAUAAUUAGUCUAUGUUUAAUACUCCUAAUUAGAUCCAAAUAUCCGAUGUGACAGGGGCUAAAAUUUAACCCAUACCUCCCAAACAUCCCCUAAGCCUGUCUAGCAUCCCUCCCCUGCAUUAGCUAAGCUUGGCUAAGGUUUUAUGCAGCCUACCAAACACAGCCAAGCUCGUUAUGGGAGCCUGGAUACGGGACCAAUCACUGCGUAUGCGUCAUGGCCGAAUCAGACGAAAUGCACGCCCAUUUUUGGAGUCCUUGAUUAGCGUUGAUGGCUCACCGUAACCAAGAUUUUGUAUUGCUACUAAUUCUUGUCAGAGCGUUAGGUUGUUGCUGUAGAGGAGCCCAUCUCCAUGGAUGGCAGUGUGGUGGUCCAAGCCCGCUCGUGGAUGAAUCUCAUUAUUACGAAACCUGACCCUGGAAUCCGGCGUUUCUCGCGCGUGGAAAGGGCCACGUCGCCUCAUUUUCGCUGCCGUCGGGUUCCGAUUGGAACGUCCAAAGAGCGAGCACAGAAUCGAGGCUCCCAGACCCUUGGUCUCGAGCGCUAGACACCUCGCCGCCGCCGCUCGUCGCCACCUGCCCCCUCGCAUCCCCGGCAGUCGAGGCGCAAGAGGCCCCGCACCCUCGCUCCGCUUCACCAACGCCGGAGCCCGAGGCAGAGCGCGCCGCGGUGGACCAAGGGACGCUCAGACGCGCCGAGCCUGCGGCUCCUGCAAGCUGCCGCCUCUCGGCGUGCUCAUCCUCCACCUGACCACCUCUGUCUCCUCUCCCCGUCGCGCUCUCUUGUGCGCUGGGCGUGCCUCCUCAGUCCUCACGCUCGCUGCCUUCCAGCAGCAGCAGCGAACACUCUAAUGUAAAGAUUGUAAGCACAUGAAGUUGCUUCAGGUUUCGGUGAUGGCAUUACAACUUAGGGUCUGUUUGGAUGGGGGUUCAUAAAGUACCUGUCACAUAUAGGAUGUUUGAUACUAAUUAGAAGUAUUAAAGUCUAAUUAUAAAACUAAUUACAUAGAUGGAGUCUAAUUCGCGAGACGAAUCUAUUAAGUCUAAUUAGUCUAUGAUUUGACAAUGUGGUGCUACAGUAACCAUUUGCUAAUGAUGGAUUAAUUAGGUUUAAUAGAUUCGUCUCGCGAAUUAGCCCAGGGGUUCUGCUAUUAGUUUUAUAAUUAGCUCAUGUUUAGUCCUCCUAAUUAGCAUCCGAACAUCCGAUGUGACUCCUCCUAAAAUUUAGUACCUUGCAUCUAAACACCCUAACGUGAAGCCUCGUACGAUAUUCUAAUUACCUGAGAUGGAUGUGUAAAUAUAUAAGUAAAAGGAUGUAACAAAUUUGCUACCUGCUGUGUAUGUUAAGCUGCAUGCCAAGGUCUUGUGCAAACAUGAUGCCAGAACCAUUCCAAGAGACUCUGUGGCUCAAUGAAACUCCAUGUUUCUUUUCCGUGAGCCAAAGAAUUUAAAGUUACACCAACGAUAACAUGCCGUAUCACCCGUACUACAACAAAAGACUAGUAUAUCUUGAAAAAACUCAACAUAGGCGCGGCAACGCCGCGCCAAGAGUUUUCUAGCAUGCUAUGAUUCCUGCACCGUGGCAGGCCCUGUCGGCCGGAGUAGUAGCUUGCUCAUUCAUGCAUUCACACACACAUACAGUAGCUAGCUCUUGUGUGAUGAGCAGAGAGAUUAACCACAGGCACAUUCCCACAUGGCAUCUACUCCCAUGUUUACUUUAUAAUAACUUGGAUUACCAACACCUUCUUUGACCUGAGAGGUUCUGUACUGUUUCAUCGAUCAUUGCAGCUAGCAUCUCGAGAAGGUUUCUGUUUUUACUGUACGACUAAUGACUGUGUCUGUUUGUAAUGCUAACCGGAAUCAUGCGUGUGGGAUUUUUAGCUGCUUGUUUUUACCCAGAGGUCAAAAAGUUACGGUGCUGAGGCAGUCCGACCUUUCUUGUCAGAAGUUCAGAACAGAACUCAGACACAGGUGCUCUUUACCGGAAAAAGGGUAAACUCGUGUCAGAAGCAUGCAUGAAGGUAAUCAAAUCGUUGUUUACAGUAAUCAAAUCAUUGUCAUGUUAGCAAGAGGAAACCCUUUUCUAUCAUCGUUUUUUACCAGUAGUAAACUGUGCUCCGCGCACGCGUGCUAGCUCGAUGCCUCCAUGGCUCCAUGGAUGCUCCUCCUGCAUCUCUUUCUGUCAUGCAAAACGCAGACCGUUUGUUUCCCUCGUCUUGGGGUCGGGUGCCCGUGAUGCUCCCAUGGCGUAUGCGUCGGCGAACGGCGAACCAGACCGGCCGUGAUGCAUUAUUCUUGUCUCUUGACUCCAGAGCAACGGACACCGUCACGUCUCAGAAAUUGUUCUCGUUCGCUGUCGCCUUCCGUUCCCAUCCCAUGCACGCUGAUGAUGCUGGACCUGGACCACGGCAGCGCCUCUGCAUUGAUAGGAUGACACCAACAACUCACAAGCACCCCCCUUGGAACAUGGAAAAAAAAGGGGCCUCUGGAAAAUUUAGCAACAUGAAAAGGAAAACUAAAGCAAGACACUAAAUUUGCAUCUAAAUUCCCUAUAUUUUCCAUUAUCAAGAAAACCAAAUUGACCAUAUGGAGGAGGAGCAGGACCGUCUUCAGAAAUUUAGGGUCUGUGUGCGAAUACAAAAUGGGGUCUUUUAUGAUUGAUCAGCUGCUUCUCGUCUAUGUUUAGGGGCUCGCUUAGGAUCGCGGAUCACAAAUCGCAAUUUGCAGAGAUCGCAACUCGCAAGUUUGCAAAGGGAAAGUGCAAGGGACGUGGUAUAGGACAAUGCCCAUUACGACGAUUCAGUUACUGUGAUGUUGCACGGCACAGCUCUGCUCAAGUGUUCUGUAAAAAAAAAAAAAGCUCUGCUCAAGUGUGACGCUACUGCGACCUUCACUUGCCUGCUGGUUUCAGUCCACUUGGCCAGCAGCAGAGACAGUUUACUAGUGGUAGUAGUACUUGCUAGGUAAGGUACAGGUCUGGCACGGUACACGCACCAAGUUCCAUAGUAAGCUGCUUAGAUUAGAGAGGACAAUUAAGGAGGGAGGAUAUAUACUAGCAGAUGGUUACCGUAAAAAAAAAAUUACUAGCACUCCAAGCAAUAGCUGCUGGUGUGGUAGAGUACACAAAGAGAGCAGAGAGGCAGGCAGGCGCAACGUUAUUUGUGGGGGGGACGGGACGCCGGAUUUCGCGUGUCGGAGCCUCCCGUCCCGAGUGCUGUGGCCUUUUCCGGAAAGCUCGCACCAGGCCAAACUGAAAAAGGCCAGGCUUUUUCUCCGAUCCGCUACCGGCCGGAUCUGUGCAGCGGCGGGCGGGCGGGGACGACGGCGACGGCGACCUUCCGUGGCCGGACCUGACCUCACCUGACCGACCAUGCAUUAGUAGUAGUACAAGACAAUGCGAGGCGGUGGGUUGACAGGUUGAGGGGAGUGAGGAGGACGAUGGAGCGAGGUCCCGAUCGAUCCGAUCCAGCAGUUUGGACCUUUAUAAAAUGCUCGUAAAAAAAAUCCAACAUUUUACUAUUUGUCCACUUGGCGCAUCUUGUUUCGCACCUCGGAUAUUUUUCCUCUCUUUUUUUCAUAGAAUAGAUAGACUGGAACAUGAUGGGCAGGAUAUGAUUGUCGCAGAUCCGACAACCCAAGAAGUUUUAGAAAGAAUCAUUUUUAAAAAAAACUAGUGUUUCGGUGCCGUACUCCCAAAGCCCAAGCUCAAAAUGGCAGGAUAUGAUGGGCCAAUAUUCAGGGUGCUUAAAGGGCCUCGUGUUUCAGGACAACUCCCAAUGCAAUGUUCAUCAUAUUUCUGGCCAAUAUUCUUAUACUUGCAUGUCAAUGCAGUUCAUGAAAGUUAGUCGAGCUUUGCUGCACAUAUUUGUUUAAAAUUUAAAAUCUAGGAAGGAAUUAGGAACAUGCUUAUAAUGAACUAGAAUUACAAUUACUAAACCUUCUUCCACUAACAAAUUGAGAUGAAAGUGCUCCAUGAGUGUUCUCAACGAGACUUGUGCCACUAGUUUAUCAGGAAUACCUCCAUGUUUAAUGGUUCUGAAGAAACCUUAAGCGCCAACUCUGCAGUUCUCCACAGAUAGAUGUGGACUCUGCCGACUGCAAGUAAAGAACACAUGAAUCGAAUGUCCUUGUCUUCACUAUUUUUUAAGGGAAAGAGUGGCAUUUUGAAUCAUGAAGAGCUACUGCAUAGCUUCUCUGUUGAUAUUGCCAUCCCAUCUUUAUUUGAACUUUAUUAUUUUAGGCUGAACAGCAUGCCAAUGGAAGCUUGAAUGCAGCUCGUCCACUCGAGGGUAUGGACGAUCAGUCACUGGAUGAAGAGCUGUUUAAAAUCGGUGAAGCUAGUAGGUGAGGUGUGCAAGGCGUUGUGAUCAAUUAUUGAUUUGAUUUGUAACUCUCUUUAAUUCUUUCCCCCUUUUGAAAGGGAGCGCAAUGAGGAGCUGCGAAAAGUGUGCGUCGAGCUCAAAAGGAUCGCAAAGUGGUAAAGUUUCUUGUUAUUGUUAGAGCAUUGCUGAAAAAGUAUAACAGGGAUAUCUUAAUUUUGUUUAGGUUUUCAGGAGCCACCGUUGCAGUUGGUGUGUUCCGCAACCGGGAAAGGAGGAAGAAACCUCGAGGGAGAGAUCGAUCCCAAUCGCACAACGCUAGCCGCCUCCUGAUCCACAAUCCAGGUCUCCGCUCAUGGCGCUUCGCAGCCUGGCGGUGAGGAUGCGGACCCCGCCGCACUUGGGCACACCGCCGCCCUGGGAGUGCUGUGGAUUGUGUGGAAGAGUAGGAACCGCAAGGUGUUCGAUGGCGAUUCACUAACCGUCCGUGCCAUGGUAGAGGUAACCCUCCUCUCCGACCACCUGCAGCUCUGGGUGUGCCGUGCGAAGCAGCGGCGAACGGACACUGAGCCGCUCCAGUCCUGGUGUAGGGGCUUGAUCAUGUAAUUAGGACCUGUGCUUCUUGCUCCCCCUCAGCUCUUUGACGUUGAGCCUCCUGCAAGGCUCUUUUGUAAUGUUGUUGUUUUUCCUUGAGAAUGAAAUUGCUUUCAGGUGGGCCGCUGGGCACCCCGUUGCUUUCUCCAAGAAAAAAGAGAUGUCAGGUUGUUUUUUCCCUUUUUCCGGACAUGGUUAAAAAUGCGCACCACCUGACAUGGUCAGCUGAGAGCCGCUGGUAGUAGGAAUUGCUUUCCUAUUGUGAGUAAAAUCAGGAUAACAAUAGCUCACCGUGGUUAUGUAAGGAUAUCUCAUGCAUCUUUCUUUGACUGUGAAAUUAAAGCAUGUUACAUUCGCUGUUAGGACCCGGUACUUCAUAAAGAUAAAAUUAAAGACACAUGUUUCCUGUAGUACUACUCUGUAAAAGUUUUUUUUCCUAGACCUGGCUAGAUCGGCAUGAGACAAGAUCAGCGAUGUUAGCAAAAAAGGUAGAUAGAUGGUGUUACUCUAUUCAUCCUGCAGCAUGAUGGCAAAAGGUUAGCCAAUCAUGGUGCCAGGAUCAGCACGUUUAAGUAGGGCCUGUCUGUUACUUAUGCAAAGAUAAUCUCUAUUUUUCGAAAAAACAACCCUUUUCUAGACAAGUAUUCAGUAGAUGCUUUGCAUUCAAGAGGUGAUCCUAUGGCAUAGUCAAUUCUUUAGCUGAUGCUUCUCAGCGAAGCACUAAAGAACUAUGGUAUAUGUUCCCUGCAACCAGUUGGUUGGAUACGAUUUUUGUAGAUGCUGCAUUAGUGAGGAACUAUAGCAAUUAAAUUCAAGCCAUGGUUCUUCCAUUUGCAAAAAAUUUGUUCGAACCAACUAGCUUGGCCUGCCUGUUUAUGGGGGCUGAAAUUGGUAGCACUUCUUGUUCUAGUCAUCAUGUUAUUUUGUGAUGUAUUAAUCAUUUUGUCCAUCGAGUCUAACUGUGGAACAUUAACUCAUCAAAGACGAAAUAUGAGGAAUCUAGGAGGUUAGAGUCAGUAAAUUAUCAUUUUGUGUUGUUCUACGUGAGCAUUACUCAUUUACAUUGUAUCCUAGCUUGUUCACCGUUUUUCUGUUAGGAGAGAGAUCAAGGUGUACAGAAGAGUUGCCAAGGUCAUGUGGUAAUUGGGUGUUACCGCUACCGUUGGGUUAUUCAUAUUGAAAGUGGCUAAUAAGGUCGCAGAGGCCGAAAACUAAGUUCCAUUUUCUUAAAAAAAAAUGUGGCGACGUCAUGAACUGCCAGUAAAUUAUCAUUUUCUGUUUGCGGCAUGUCCUGUAUAUAAGUUUUGGAGCAGCUAGUGUUUCUUUUUGCGGAAGACAGGAAGAGAGAACUUGACGUAUGGCAUGUAUUUGCGUGAAGGCGGACAUCGAUGCCUUGUGAUAAGCACGUUGCAUUUCUGAUGAAAGAAAAGGUACCCAGGCCAGUUAUUUCUUUUUUUUUCCUGACGUGCCGAUGACAAAUGGAAAUGCAGGGAGCAACAUGCUGCAUAUUUUUCUUUGUUAGUAUUUGAUGCCUUGCUAUUCCAGCCACAUCCUGGCUUUAAUUUGCUCCCAUAAAUCUUCACAAGUACCAACUUCUUCCUCUUCUACCCCCUUUAAAAUUGCGGAAAUGUGAAAUGGGCUAGGGUAAAAUGGGCCCAUUUGUGAUCCUGCUGGGCUACUGAGUACUUGAUACAAACGCUGAGGUGGUUUCCGCGCGGUUGGACAGCAGAAGAUUUGCUCACGCAUUUCCUGGCCCACAAAAAGAGAAGAUUUCCCAUUUAUUUAUUUUUAAUACAUAUUCAACAUAAACAUUUCUCCCGUGUUUUCCUAAAUAGACGAGACUUAUCGUCCUUCAUAAUUUUUUUUAUAUUGGAUACUUUUUUUAAUCAAGAAAACCAACUUUUUUUUUCAAAAAAACUAGUCAUGCUCCAAUGAGUAAAUAAUUCUUGAAAAAAAUCCUACAAUUAGACUGUGGGUGCACACUGCACACUAAGAUCCAGUAACCUCACUUGUAGACGUAGCUCGAAAUAAACUUGGCUGAUUGGGACCGUGAAUACCCGGCAAUGCAGCGUGCAAACCGUGUGCUCUCAAGUUUCGAACACGAUGCUAUGAGUUAGAACAGUAGGAAAAAGAAAGCGUGGUCUUCGCAUCAGAAGAAAGCCUUCGUCGUCCAAGUACAGUGGCUACACUAGCAGCCUCUGUCACUCUCUUUCCACACACACGACACACGGUAGGUUUAGGUACAGCGUAGCUAGCACCACCGUUGAAACGACUCGAAUUUCUAUUUCCGACAAUCCAAGUCUCCGCACCUCCGUAUUAUCACGGAGACUAUCACGUAUGGCCACGUCACACGCUAGCUGUUGCGUUCCAUUCCAUCCAUUGUCCCCAGGUGAUCGAGCUGCCUGUAUGUUGACUCAACCUCGGGUGUUGCGUCCACGGAGACGCUGCGCAGAGAGCAGGCCCGGCUCUGACCCCAGGGCCCAUGACACAGUGGGGCCUAGAAUUCUAUACGUACAAGCACAUGUGUAUACCUGCAUUAUUUGAGGCCUCGAAGGCUGCUAACUUGCUAGACAGAGUCAAUUAACGACUCAUCUUCAUUCUACUCUGCUCCAAUUGGUGACUGAAUCUUUACUUACUUCCUUAGCACCUAACAGGUUAUUGACUUCCUGUCUAGAUUUCUAGAGUUUUAUUUUAUAUUUCUCAUGUUUAAUUUCCUUUGCAAUUUAGGCCGAAGGGCCCAUAGUUUUGUAUGCUCAAGGGCCCUCAAAAUUGUAGAGCCGGACCUGGCAGAGAGCACAUCAGUUCAGCACUUGGCUCCAAAACUGCAAUCUAUGGCGGCUCUCUGACUCAACUUUUGGCCAGGUUAGUUAGGACUUAGGAGAAUCUCAAUCCAUCAAUCAUUUGUACGUGCUGUGCCCACAGGUUAGGCCACCAUAUGUUAGGCAGCUGCCCUACCCAUGCAUCUUUAUCAGUUUCGAAGCUUAAUAAUUAUUCCCUCCCAUCUUCAAAUAAUUGUCGUUUCCAUCAGCAAGAGACACCGAUUUUCACAGCGAAUUCAUGGUACUACAAAACACAUUAUAUCGAAUGACUCCUGAAGACGAAUCUAACCAUCCCAUUUUCAAAAGUCGAUUCAAAAUAUCCGAAAGGAGACUUGACGAUACAAACUAAUUAAAAUGUGUUGAGUGCACGCAUCUCAAACCAACAAAAAUUUGAGGGCCAGAGGGGUAACUAUCAAGUCUAACUGCAACUCUCUCUCUCUCUCUCUCUCUCUCUCUCUACCAUCAACAAAGUCGAUCGUUCAACUUUGACCAUCACUGUAUAUUUACAGAAAUAGCUAGCUAGCUAUUAGUCUGCUGCGUUCAACGUUUUUAAGGAUGUGACGGGUCUCCCAACCCUAUCAUGCAUGGAAAAAAUAACACAGCUGGCGUUGAACGUGUCAGCAAUGGCUGCCUCGAGAUGAAUUAUUCUCGCAUGAUGGCUGCAGCGUUAACAAUAAUUUUCCUCAUUCAGGUACACGGGCUUCCAUUCUAAUAAUUCCCUCGCCGCUCCAUCCACCCGUCACUUCUGGAUCAGGAGAGAUCCCAGCCGUUGAUCUACAUUCUUGGCGAUGCGUGAAGGACAUGUCUAACGCCGUUGCGUCACCCGGGCGGACCAGCUAAUCAUCAACUACUAAUCCAUCUCUGAUUAAGACCACGGCCAUCACCACUGGACGCGACGACUUCGAAAACAUUAAUCUUAUAUCUCAGCAAAACGAAAAAAAAGGUUGAAAUGUCGUACGUGUCCAUGGAAUCGUACGUUCAGCACCUGCAAGCCACAAAAUGUAAACUACGAAACCUUGUAAAACGGGAUAAAAUUCAGCUGAAUUAGCAUAUCAAAGUCGUCGUGUAAUACCUAACUACCCGUCUACGAAUGAGACUAGAUGUAUGCGUGUAUAAAAAAAAACACGUCAAUACGUGAUUGCGCUGCUUGCAAUUCCUCUGGAAAAUGAGCUUUUUUUUUCCUUAUUUUAACUUUUGCGAAUGAAUCUGGAGAAUGACAGUUUCGUCUCGUAGUAGUUGGAGACCUGUAUGUUCUUCCUCCGACCAUUUCCUUCAUUCAGUUUUAUAUAUAUGUAUUGGAGACUGUUGUAACACCUCAGGUGUUAAUCCUAGGAUUAGUGAACCUCAUUAGAGCAUAAUAAGCAUUAUGAAUUUAAACUCUGCCUAAUUUUUUAAAUAAGCAUUAUGAAGUUAAAAUAAGCAUUAUGGCAUUGCAUUGCUUAAACACCUCCUAAUUGUUGUUUACUUGUCCAAAUACAACUUUAUGAAGUAACUCAAAAUUUUGCUAUGUAACUGUGCCUCCUAUUAUUUAAUUUAAAUACUAGAUUCUAAAUUAUGAAUUUACAGAAUUUCCUUAAUUUUUGGAUGAUGUUUGAUAGGGCUAAAAAUUCAGUGAAGCUUAAAUUCAACUAUUUUCCUUUUCAAAUUCUAUGCAAACCAGUUGAGCUCUGCCUUUGGUUACAGUUUCUUUUUGUUCUUUGUGAUUUUAUUUUUAAAUGGGUAUUUUUGGGAGUUUUUUAUCAGCUCUAGCUUGCUCAUUGGAAGAGCGAAAGAUAUUUUUAGAAAAAUGGCGCGGUGCCACAUGUCAUUGCCUCUCUUCUCCCUCCUCCCUUUCCUCCGUCGCUGCCACUGCCACCGUGUCAGGCUCGCCGCCAUGCGCCGGCGUCCGCACCCGCAGGGCCCCAACCCUCCACGCGCCAGCUCUCUCUCUGUCUCGCCGCGCUAAGGCCAUGAGUGGCCGUACCGCACGUGCCGCGGCCGUCCCGCUGAUGGCCAGCGCCGCCGUGCCCGAACGACGGCUACCGCGACGUCAAGCAGACUAACUCGCCGUCCUUGCCUUAACUCAGCGCCAAGCCAUCCUCGCCCCACUAUCGCUCGACCUUAUCUUCUCAAAGCCGCUGGCCUCCUUCCUUCACCCUCCCUCUCCCUCUCACUUCCACUCCCUACGGCCAAAACCAAAAACAACCGAGCCGAGCAAGCAGCUCCCACCCGCCGGCCAAAUCCGCCCAGUCCACUCCAUCAUUUUCCAAUCCACGCCGCCCACGGCUAUCAACCCGUCUCAGAUACCUCCACCACUACCUCUUGCCUGUCUCUAUCAGCCAGAGCGCCGAGGGUUGAAGUUCCCGCCACCGCCAUUGCCGCCACCCGCCACCACCCACCUCACCGUCGACGCCCACCUUACCAGCCUCCUCUUCGUCAACCAAAAACCAAAAACGAGCUUUGGUGAGCCCCUGGUAGUGAUGCGCCCUAUAUUUCGUGGAGAUAGGCUAGUUGCCGUGCUCGAUUUUGAGCUUGCCGCCGGAGUGCCGCCGCCGCUAGCCGCGGGUUAGGCUAGGGUUAGGGUUCGGGGGCAAGAAGUAGGGGAGGAGGUGCGCCAGGUGAUUUGGAAGGCGAAAGGGUAGUCAAAGGGGUGGGAAAUUCCGCCGCCGUGCCGGCGUGGCUGCGCCGCCACCGCUGGCCAUGCACGCGCGCGGGCGAGCGUGAGAAGGAAGAAGGCCAGGGUGUUGUGUGUGAGAGAAAUAGAAGUUCCAGGGGGUUUCCGUUAAAUCUUGGGUUUAAGUUCUGAGGUGGAAAAGUUCAAGGGGCCUAAUUGAAAGAUCAGGAGGUUUUAGCGUAAAAGGAAGGGCUGAUAUGUGAUUAAAGUUUGUUUUUGAGGGUUUAUUUGAAAAUGUACCUUUUCCUUUUCGUCUUCAGUUUUAUUUGAAAAGGGCUGAAAUUUUGGAAAUCCCUAUAAAAUUGUAGAAAAAGGGUAAAAAUGUAAACUAAAAUUUUUUAGGCUUCUUAUGAAAUCUAGUUUAAUAUAAAAAUGACAUUGUGCCUUUUUCUGUUAUCAAUAUUUACAUAUAUUUUAUCAUGUGAAAACCAUGUUUAAUGCUUAGUAAAUUAUAGAAAAAUACAAAAAUGGUAAAAUCAGUUUUGUUAGCUUCCUGGUGAUGCGUAGACUCUAGAUCUGCAACUUUAACUCAUGAAAAUGGUAGUCUCCAUGUAGUUUUAGAUUCACUUCUGUUUUGUUGAAUGAAUCUUGGCAAAUGCUAGUAAAAUUCUAGAAACAAUCUAAAAAUGCAAUGUAAAUUAUUUUGUAUCUCUGAUGACCUUUUUUACUUACUAAAAUUACUUAUUCUGGUUAAUGGUAUGUUUUUGAUGCUGAAUAAAAUGUUAUUUUUUAAUGCCCUUUAAUUGGAAUAAAUAGCUCUAAUGUUCAUAAAAUCUUGAUAAAUUAUAAUUAAUCCAUAUUAGUUUUUAAAACUAUUCUGAGAAAUUUGUAGAACAAAAUUAUUGAUAGAACUAUAGCUAUAGUUCAUUCUUCAUAUCUGCAGUUUUGUCAUGUUUGAUUUUUAAUAAAUUUUGUGGUAGUCCAAUCAUGCUGAACUUUUUACAGUAAAUUUGUGGUGUGAUAAGAAAGCUCCUGUACAUCAGUCAUGUUGGUGUACCAAUAGAUGAUUCCUGAACAUUUAUUCAUGUUGAGAGUUGGUUUAUUUAUUAAAUAUAAUUGCUACUAGAAUUACAGGCUAAUGAAUUAUUCUUUUAUGCUCUUUGUCAAUAGUAUAUUUAUCUCUGAAAAGUUCACUAGUGAAACCAUUAUAUUUACUUGCGUGUGUCAUUUAUUGAGUCUCUAGCAUGUUGUCACCAUAGCUUCAUGCAUGAACACCUUAGUAGUUCUUGGUUUAUAUAAAUCAUGUUCUUGUGUAGAUAGCGAUACGCUUUUAUGCUCUACUUUGAACUUUUAAUCCUGUAUGAUUGAGUUGCUACAGUCUUUAAACUUGAUUCUAUGCUUGUGUCAUCUCUUUUCAUUCAGCUCACACAUAUGCAUUGUCAUGUAGAUAAUCCGCUGGCCGACAGUAUUUAUGAACUAAUUGCUGGGCCCGAGAGUAAGCCGCUCGAAGCUUCCCCAGUUGAAGAACCGCAAGCCCUGAACCAAAGUUUGGAAGAGCUCAAAGCUUGGGUUGAAGGCAAGCACCGGAGCAUGACCCCUAAUUUCAAAACUAUGCAAUUAUCUUACUUAAGUAAUUACCUUAUGCAUUAAGUUCCUAGGAGUUGAAUGAAACCUUAGCUGCAUGAUUCCUAGGACUCCCAUUUUCAAAUACUAGUAUGUAUAGGUCGAUCGAAAUCCCAUGCUUAAUUAAACAGUAGAAGUCGAGUGAUUGUCUGUCACCCGCAAGAUAUAGGCUCUUUACUAGUCAUGGUUAAAAUCUGGAACUAAUGUGAACAUGAGAAAAGUUGGAGACCGGGCGGAGAUAGAAAUAGUGUUGGUUAUUGUUGUUGGUGGCACUCCUCCUGUGUUGAUUAAGGCCUGUUCGUUGUGGCCCCUUUUGAUCAAGUUUGAAUUGUACUAUCCACAUGCCGGAAGUAAGUGGUAGUUGAAAUUGGUAAAAUCUAGUACCAUAUUACGCGAUGGUAGAUUUAGUUCGGUCCUGUUUCCUAUUCGUGUGCUAGUCAGUAACUCACGACAAGCUCGGGGAGGUACUGAUGGGAAUUAGUACUCGAGGGUCGCCGGGUGGCUCAAAUGCUAUCGCUCUUUAAGGGAACCGUUUGCCAUAUGCAGCUUGACGGGGCAUGCAUAUGUCGUGUGUCUAGGUCCACCUUGCAAGGUUAUAAAUCAAAUCGAUUCACCACCGCUCUCGGUUAAGAUAACCUUGAUCACUGAGUCACAUCGUAGUAAGAAGUGGAAUGAAAGGAAUUGCGAACGAUGAUUAUGUUGUUAUUUAAUCAAUUAUUUUUCAAUGCUGAAAAGUUUGGAUGUGAUGCUCACUUAGAAUGGUUAGUUCAACUUCAAUUUAAAGGCUAAAACUUGAUAGUAAGGAUCCACUCUUAGUUGCUUUUUGGCAAAACAAACUCCUCAGCUAAAAGCCUCGCAUCCUAGGAGUCGGCUAAGUAUAUACCAUAGUCAGGUAAGUCUUGCUAAGUAUUAGUAUACUUAGUCUUGCUUUAUUAUUUACUUUCAAGUCUUAGUGGGGAAGAAAUGAUAGAACUGGUUGCUGGUCAACCUUGGGAUGGCUAUCCUUUGCCUGAAGGAUGGUCGGUUGAGUGGUCCUUGGUCUUGCCCUGACGUGGUUUUGUGUUGGAUGACAUGUUGUUGGGCUACCCAUGUCGUAUGUAUCUUCCUUUGCACUUUAUUAUUUAGACUUCCGUUGUGUUUUAUUUAAGAACUCCGGCUUGUAAUCUAUUUAUGUAUUUCGAACUCCAUUUGUAAAUUAAGUUUAGAAACUUUAGGUUGUAAAAUGAAUGCCAUGUUGUAUCAUCUGCGCUCAUCUUCAUAUGAGAUUUGUUGCAUAUUAUUUCGAUCAAUGAAAUCAGUGGUUAAAUCAGGCUUGACUUGACAGACUGUCAAGUUAUACCGUUUUAAGUGCGUAUUGACCAGAUUAACCAUUAAGAGGAUGGUUAGCACACUUAAGCCAGUUUAAUUUGGGCGGUUCUGCCACAUCUGACAUUUUUCUUCUCCUAGUAGUUGGAUGGCUCUCAUUUGUUUCAAGCACUCUAAAAUUUCCUGUUAUAUAUAUAUAUAUAUAUAUAUAUAUAUAUAUAUACUUCAUUCAGUAAGAAAAAUAUGGAGUAUGCAUCAAGUAACAUCACCAUAAAGCACCGAAACAGAAGAGAAGCAUGUGACUAAAAGAAGAUAUUAAUAAUAUGUUGGAGACAACUUGGGGUAUGUUUAACUUACCUGAUGAAGAUAUUUAAAGCUGAUCUUAUGGUGAUUUGUUCAGUACUUCCACCUUUAAUUUAGUGUCAUCUCGGAACGCGCCAAUCGGAAAAAUAUAGGCAGAAAAUGCCAUGUGUGUUGCAAAAGACAGUCAUUUGGAUGCAUUUAUAGAAAAAUAGCACAACAAAGUAAAAUAAUGGGGUGAAACCUUUUAUUUAACACUACAAAAGUUCAAAGUUGAUGGUUAUUUUUUUUUAUGAAAGGGAGCCAUAAGCUUGUUUCUUUUGUAUGCUUGAAAUCCCUUUAAGUUCCAUAUGUCGUCAUAACUUCAAAGAGGUUUUUAUCGGUACAGUCACAUGCCCCCAUUCAUUCAAAAAAGUGGCUAUUAUUGUUACAAACUUGAGUUCUUCGAAGAGGAUUGCUCAAACACGUCUCAAUUGGAAGUAAGCGAUACCGAGCAUCUACCAUCUAUUCAAAUAUGGGCUUGAAUUCAGCUACCUAGUUCGGUGUGAUUUCUUCUGCUAUUAGGUGAUCUCCAAAGUUAUGGUUUGUUUAAAAACACUUCUUCCUUUUUUCCCACAAAUUAUUUAUAAAUGUUCAUCCGCAGCAAAACCUUAGGCAGACAUACACAUAAACCUACAAAUGCCAGCUGAGGGAGUUUUUUGGGCAAGAGAGAAAACAAUACAUGGGACAAAAGAGAGGUGGGAUCACUCCAUUCUAACUAGAAUUUUGGUUUUGGUGUUCUUGGAACAAAAGAAACAUAAAACCUUCCACAAUCUUGGAACAAAUUAUAUUGAAAAAAAGAAGAAAUCAUUGACUGCAUGGUUCACUAACCCCUGCGCGAGAUGUCAUGUUCUUGGUACGUAGACAUCAAAGACCAUUCAACCGUUCGUGCAACACACCAUCUAGUCUCAAUAAAAACAUUCCUAUACAUAACACACUACGCUUGUCGAUAUAUGUACACCUGUUGCUUGUUAUCAACGUUCGCACGUCACUUUGAUCUGAAAGGAAAAGGACAUUGCAGUCCACAUCUAUCUGAACGAGCAAAAAUUUAAAUACAUGAAUAUCCCAUGGAUUCGCAGCUAUGAAAAUCAUACCACCCCAGCUAACAACAGAUCAGGAGUCGUACAAGGAGCAAACCUCCAAAACUUGAGCCGAGCUGAACAUUCCUCGGUAUGGAACCUACGACGAACCAGUAAAACCCGGGGCCCCACAUCGUUAGAAUCAACCGCACUGCCUCCUCCUCACCUGGCCUGGUCACAGACACAUGGGCCCCAUGUGGUGGCAGCCCACUAGGCCGAGCCCCGGGCCCACCAGCACUACGCGCGCUCUGUCCGCUCCACCCCGACCCGAGCCGCCGCCUCCGGGGCGGCCCCACGCGCCCCCGCGUCGCCGACAAGUGGGCCCCACCAUCCGUCCACCCCCCGCGUCGCCGGCCUGCCGGCCGCCUCCCCACCGGUGCACGGCGCUGCAGGCACGGGCGCAUUGACGCGCGGCGGCCGCGGCGAUGCCCGUGAGCCCGGGCCCACGUGAAAGCGGCCCGCGACGGCUGGGCGCGGGCCCCACAUCCCCACCUCUAGUAGUCUAAAACUCGCCCCCGCGCACGCCCCGAUGCGCCAGUUUCCUCUGGCUUCUAUUCUUCUCCACCCCCGCUUGCUCGCCGUCGUGCUCUCGUGGGUUGGUCAACACCCUCCCCAAGCAAUUCCGCGAGCACCUCGCGCGCGUCGCCGCCCACCCACAUGGCCGCGCGGUCGCCGCCCGCGGCCCGCUGCUAGACGCCUCGCGCGCCCGCCGCGGCCUCCCGGCUGCUGGUGCUACCAUGUUCCUCCUCCCGCGGCAGUGGCUGCUGCUCCUCGCGGCGGUGCUAGCGACGGCGGCGGCCGUGGCGCGGGGGCAGGCGCCGCUGGCGUCGCGGGCGGACCUGGGGGGGCUCUACAGCCUUCGCGCCUCCCUGGGGCUGCGGGCGCGGGACUGGCCGCUCAAGUCGGACCCGUGCGCGGCGUGGUCGGGCGUCGCCUGCCGCGCCGGCCGCGUCGUGAACGUCACCGUCGCGGGGCUCCGCCGCACGCGCCUCGCCGCCCUGGCCCCGCGCCUCGCGCUCGACGGGCUCCGGAACCUCACCGCGCUCGAGCGCUUCAACGCCUCCGGGUUCCCGCUGCCCGGGGAGAUCCCCGACUGGUUCGGCUCGAGCCUCCCGCCCUCGCUCGCCGUGCUCGACCUCUCCUCCGCCGCGGUCAAUGGGACGCUCCCCGCCAAUCUCGGCGCGUCGGGGAACCUCACGAUCGUGCUCCUGUCCGGGAACGGCCUCUCGGGUGCCGUCCCGGCGCCGUUGCUCUCCGACAGAGGACCUCGCGUCCUCGACCUCUCCCGCAACAACUUCACCGGCGGGCUGCCCAACGUUUCCGCCGUCGCCGGCGGCGCGUCGAUGUUUAACAUCUCCGGGAAUUCGCUGUACGGCGUGGCCGGCUAUGCCAUUGCGGCGCUGAGGAGAAGGUUUCAGGUCGUCGACGUGUCCAGCAACUACUUGGAUGGAGCUUUGAACGGGUCCGAUGGAGUAGUGAUUACCACGACGAAUUGCUUCCACGGCGUGCCGGGUCAGCGCAGCCGUGUGGAUUGCGAGGAGUUUUACAGGAAGCAGGGCGUGAACCUUGUUGAUGCUCCAGCUCCCUCGCCGUUGCCGUCGGCUUCGCCUCUGCCACAGCCAUCACCGGAGGUGAAGAGGAAGAAGCAGGGUAUCUCCAAAAAUGUACUCAUUGGAGUCCUUGUAGCUGCGGGAGCAUUGAUGGUUCUGUUUUUGGCUGUAUUGCUGUUCUGCUUGGUGAAGAUGAGCAGCAGGGGAAGAAGCAGAGGGAGGGGAGUGGAGAUAAACGAGGAAGGUACUGGCACACGCUCUGCGCGUAGGAGGGACAGCAGUGUGAAUCCAGUGGCGUCAUCUCCAUCAGCAGUUUCUCCAAGAGCCAAUGGUGGACCUAAAAAGGAUGUGUCUGCCAUUGCCGGUGAUUUCAGCUAUGAGGAAUUGGUAGAUGCCACUGGGGGUUUCGGUGACGACAAGCUCAUCAAGCAUGGGCAUUCAGGAGAUAUCUAUCAUGGUGUCUUGGAGAAUGGCUCACAUGUCAUUGUUAAGAAGGUCGGUUCAAAGGGUAUCAACAAGCAUGCUAGUGAAUUGGACUUCUAUUCGAGGUACUCCCAUGACAGGAUUGUUCCGCUACUCGGGUAUUUGAGCAAGGAUGAUGAGGAAUUCCUGGCUUACAAGUAUAUGCCAAAGGGAGACUUGACCGAUGCAUUGCACAAGAAACCUGUAGACACUGCAGAUGGCUUGCCCUCGCUGGAUUGGAUAACUAGACUGAAGAUUGCGACUGGUGUGGCUGAGGCAAUGUGCUUCCUUCAUGACGAGUGUAGCCCACCAUUAGUUCACAGGUAUGCCUUUCUAUAUGAUCCAGGCAUCUACUUUUUCCAUUUGGUACUGUGGCGCUAUGCUGUUGUUGCUUGGUACAGACCUAAUAUUCAAAAAAUUAGUCAUCCAUGUACUAGUUUUUAUUUUGUCCCAAUACUUAGACUCUUAGAUCAUAGUCUAGAAAACCAUGGAAGGUCCAGAUGCCUUCCUUUUCAGCAUCUUGUUGGCAAAUUAAGGAGACAGUUACAUCAAAGACCACAAAAGAGGUAGGAACAGUGAAGAAGUAUCUAAUCUUAUGAGAUAAUUUACAUCUUUAGUUUUAUAAUUGUUGUGGGUCCCCUUUGUUGCUUUUAUGAUGGCACCAAUGCAUUUCAUGUUAUCGAGGCACUGUUGCUGAAGAAAAUGAAUUUCUCUAUGCUUCAGUCUUUUGUUUGUGAAUCACUUGCUAGUGUGAAGAGGAUCUCAGGCCUGUAGACUGACCAUGGUCUGUCUCUGUAUAUUGACUAGAAACAACCCAGUGUAAAAAAAACAUUUUGGUAUGAUUUGUCGUUUUCUUGUAAUUCUUUAUGUUGGAAAAGAAGUAUUGCUAGUAUGUAUGACUAUCUCAACUCAUUUAUGCAUUAUUCUGGAACGGCAUGCUCUUUCCUUUUACUAAAGUCUAGAACAAGUAUACCAUGGCAUUCAGUCUCUAUCACAGAAUUACAUUUGCAUUUGACAAAAUUUACCUUUGUGUUAUGCGGAUGUCAUCAAUCAUUCAAUGAAUCUUUGUUUAAAGUACGUUAACAUAACUAGAAGUAGCCUUCUUUUGUUCCUCCUACAAUUUUUGUUUGACUAAUAACUUUUACUUGUAUCACCUUGGCUUGUCUAUCCUAUCAGUAGGUGAGUUCAAGUUUUCUUAGUUUACAGGAAUACCUCCAGUUUCAUGCAUGGUGCUCAAUGCCUGUAUUUUCCUUUAUGUCAUUGUUGACAUCUGAUUUAUUGAGUACUCAUUUCUUUAUUGCGAUUGCAGAGAUAUCCAAGCAAGCAGUGUCCUUCUUGAUGAUAAAUACGAAGUGCGACUUGGGAGUACGAGUGACAUAUGCGCCCAGCAAAGUGGGGGAAGCCAGAAUGUCUUCUCUCGGAUAUUGAGAUCGUCAAAGUAAGAUUACUACCUUUCACUUUUCUUUCCUUUUCAUGUAGCACACAAGAGAACAAUAUUCUCAUUAAAUGGCUGAAUUUUAUGUUUUUUUAGUUUGCUUUGAUUUUUAUUGGUGUUAGUAUGUAGGCAGUGUUGAUUUGGGUACUGAAAUGCACUCAUAAAAGGCAUAGUAAAAUAAACAUCACCUUUAUUCUUACAUAUAGGUUAGUUUACUUAAGUUGUCUUUGUAGGCUCCGUUGAAUGUAUUGUGGUUGAGAUGUCUGCCCAAUACGUGAUGUUACCAUCGCUAGUUGAGUGGGAGUAGUUAAAUGAUACAUGAACAUGUUGUUGGUGAUAUUGCGCUGAAUUUCAGAUAACCUAAGGAAUCUGCUUUUCAGGCAUGUAUUGGUUUAUUGUUGGUGACUGGUAGUUGGUAGUUCACUGUCUUGUGCUGCUACUGUGUGUAGUUGAGCAAACUCCAACCUUGUGUGUGCCUGAGACCAUUUGUGUUUUCCUCUGAAGUUGGUAACUGACCUUUGGUAUCUGACGCUUUGUUGUGGCAGGUCUCUCGACAAGCACACAUCAGGUUCGUAAAUGUUCCACAUCUGCUGCUCCUUUUUGUAAUCCAUGUUCAUAUGAACAAACUCUGGAAAAUUUGUCAACGAAAAACUCCUAAAAAAAAUUCUCCUCUACCUUGCAUGACAGGUCCACCGGCCACUUGCUCCUACGACGUCCUCUGCUUCGGCAAGGUGCUGCUGGAGCUGGUGACCGGCAACUUCGGCAUCAGCGGGUCGAACGACGCCGCCUCGGAGGAAUGGCUGGCGAACACUCUUAACCAGAUCAACGGCGGCGACAAGGCGAGCGUCACGAGCAUCAUCGACCCCUUGCUCCUCGUCGACGAGGACCACCAGGAGGAGGUGUGGGCGGCGGCGAUCAUCGCCAAGGCCUGCCUGAGCGCCAAGCCCUCGCGGCGGCCGUCGGCGCGGCACGUGCUCCGCGCCCUGGAGAGCCCGCUGCGGGUGGUGCGGCAGAGCUCAUCGUCCCGGUCCGACUCGGCCCGGCUGCGGAGCUCGUCGUCGAGGAGCUCGUGGCAGUCCGUGUUCUUACAGGGGAACAACCACCGGGUGCAGAGCCUGGACCGGCGGCACUCGGUGAGGUCUCACGGGAGCGGCGGGGAGGCGUCGUUCUCGUUCUCGUUCAAGAGGGCCGUGGCGGCGGCCCCGGAGGUCGCGCCGGAGCCGGUGGCGGCGGCGCUCGACGAGGAAGCCGUUGUUGUGUAGUGUUACUGGUAGCGAGUAGGACGCCAUUUCUUGGGUUCUUUCUUACAGGCAUUCCUGAUUCUUUCCUUACGUGAUGUCAGUCACAUCGCAUUGUGUGUAUAAUUUGUUGUUGUUGUCUGAUGCGUUGAUGCGGUGUUCCAACAUGACAAGAAAAUAAAAACUGUGCAUAAAGAGCAUGUUUUCAAAUAUUUUGAGUGAAUUUUAAACUUCUUUUUAGGAUUUCUCCUCCAGAGUCCUCAGCUUCUUCUCCGUGCAGAUGACAAUUAAAAACGGAAAGGUGAUAUGCAAAUGGGCCGCCGUGGGCGCACAGAUGGCUCUCCGGCCCAGCCUAGCCCACCCAAAUUAAGGGCAUUGAUCCAUCACUAUAUGGUACACGUGGCCCAAUAGGGUAAACAAGACGAGAGGCGGAAGCAGCAGCGGCAUGGCGUCACGAUUCCUCCUCCGCGCUGGCGCCCUGUCGGCGCGCGGCCACCGCCUCCUCGCCGGUCAGAUCGUGGGCACGCCGCCGUUGGCUGCCGCUGCAAGCGUCGCACUCGCCGGUCAGGUCUGCCGUCCGUUCCCAACCGUCACCUCCAAUCCCGACGUGACGCUGAUCACAUCUCUUUCCACUGGAUCGUGCUAACGCGAGCUAAGCCUAGCUAGAUCUGUACUAUCGCGUUCGUUCUUCAAAAACGCUGCCUAAUUCGUUUAAAACCCAAACUUUGUUAGUUUGAAUGAAUUAGCCGAUCUUGUUUGAUUUUAAAUCUGUUGUAGGCUGCUGCUGCAGCAGCAGCCGCCGGCCUGAUCCUCGUUCAGAUUUCAGAAGGCGAAUGAAAAUUUAAAUUCGUUUUCUUUUCACUGAACCCUUGUUACAAGUGGCAAUUAUCCGGCACCACUGUACAGCAGUGUCAUUGUCACGAAGAUCAAAUACGAGGCUAGAGAUCGUCCCCAAUUCCCAUUGGAUGAUUGUUGCAUCGGCUCUCAUUUUUCUUUUCCCCAAAAUGUUUGCAAAUGCGGUUCUUUACUCUUCCCUAUGGAUGGCCAAUGCAAGUUCAGCAGAGCUUUCAAAAAAGGUGGGAAAAAGUUGCAAUUAUUGUAUGCUAUAGAUGAAAUUUGUUUUCUUUAAUCCCUACAUUGAUGCAUUGUAAUAAUUACUAUAACAAGAAAUUAAAAAUCGAUGCAGGGCCUUCGCCAUUACCCAGCUACAUCCAGACCUCGCAGCAGCAUAGCCGAGCUGGACGAAGCCAUGGCGAACGUGGAGGGGAGACUGGACGCGAUCGAGGCGGCAAACCGUCAUCAGCACAGCAGCAAGGCGAUCCUGACCAAGAGAUCCAGCAUCAGAUGGGUGCCUCCCGAAGCCGGGUGGGGUCAAGAUAAACGUGGACGCCUGCUUCGCGGAAGAGUUCGGCGAGGCCACGACCGGGGUGGUGAUCCGCGACGAGCGCGGCGGGGUGAUCCUGUCGGCGACGCAGGAGCUCCGAUCCCCGCCGUGCUGGAGGAGCUGCCGGCCCGCUCCUCCAAGGAAGAAGCCCGGCUGGCGGCGUGCAGGAGAGGGCUUGCACUGGCUCUCGAGCACGCGCAGGCAACGCGUGCGAUAAUGGAGUCCGAUUCCGCCGCCUGCAUCGACGCCCUCACGCGGACGUGCAGAGACCCUUCCCGGCUGCCGGCGAUCAACCGGGAGAUCAUGGAGCUCAAAGGAAGGAUUCGAGGAGCUCAGGUUCGCCAAGUCCAUCAAGAGGCGCCAGAACACUGUGGCUCACCUCCUGGCCCUGGAGGCUAGGGGCUGGGGCAGCUCCGUGUGCUUCAAGGGGGUUCCAGCCUUCAAGGUUGUGCUCAGCAACAGGUGCUUGCUGAAUCAUCGGGUCCUACGGUCCUAUCCCCAGAUGAUUACUUGAUACUCUGUCCCCCUUUCGCGAGAGAAUCGGAUUAAAAAAACAUUUAUUCGUCAUAGAAGUAAUUAAUUGAUACUAAUGGAUUGCUCAAUUAGAAUCUUUAUUUUCUUGUGUUUUUUUGCAAUUCUUUAUGAGGUGCUCGUGUUUCUUUUCUCAUGCCAAUUCACAGUCCUUGCCAUGUGUAACCUUUUCUGUUUUACUGUUUAUGAUACAUGCGUAUGAUCCGACGUUCCAACUUGACUAAAUGGGAAUUGUGCAUAAAGAACAUUUUCUUAAGAAAGGAAAUACCUUUUCCUUUUUUUCCGAGUAAAUUUUAUUUUUUCGAGGGACGAGUAAGUUUUAUAAAUGAAACAUUCCCCCACGGAAUAUAUCUUUCUCGCUCGCUCGCUCGGAGUGUGCAAAUGGGCCGUCGCACACAGGUGGCGGCCCAGUAUGGCCAAACUUUUGCUCACUGAUGUCGGGCGAAGUGGGAGGAGGUUGCUGCGCUGAAACAGCCGAAGAGCGACGGGGAAAAGAGCGGCGGCGGCAUGGCGGCGCGACUCCUCCGCAAUGUGGCAUCCGCUGCGGCCUGAUCGGCGCGCGGCCACCGCGUCACCGACCCCUCUGGCGCCAUUGCUGGUCCCGGAAGCCGAGGCAUCGCCCCCGCCGCUCAGGUCUGUUCUUUCCCCAUCGAAUCCCCUUGCUCAGCUUCCCGUGUGUGCUAUCCCUAGCUCCGUGCACGCGAUGCCCCGUUGCUGCCCAGCUGUGAUUGGCUGGGAGGCGAGGAUCUCCUCGGCGUCCAUCUAAUUCAUCUGGGCGCAGCAAUACUAGCGAGCUUGGGAUGUUUCUUUUUAUUUUUAUUUCAUGCCUUCCCGAGUCAUGGAGUCGGGCGUGAGCAUUUCGAAAUCCUGUCUGGCUGUCCGCACUGAAAUCUCUACAGGAUUUUUAGUCCCGCUGCUCCAUCCGCGAAAUUGAGCGAGCAUAUUCACUUUUUACUUGAAUCUACCGUGUGUGCUACUUGACAAUUUGUAGUUGCAGUAGCCUGAAUUUUCCUUCCUGCAUGUUAGACUGCUCGAUUAUUAUUAUUUUUCCUCCUUUAAAAUUGAUGAUGCAUUCCUGAAGACAAGCCAGCAUUUUUAUCAAUCCUUGAAUAUCAAACAAAACCUAAGGAACAGGGCAAGCAAGGAACAGAACCACCUUAUGGCCUUGGUCGAAAAAUCAGGUGCAGAACUCAAUUAUAGGGUCAUUUGCAUUAUUGCGUCCUAAGGCUGAAUCUGAAUGCAUCACAGAAACCUGAUCCCUGAUUAUGUGCGCUGUUUGUUUAGUUCCACAAGCACCUUUUUUGUCCUCACACUGCUUGCAGCAAUGAAAGUUUCAUUAGAAAGUUUUUCAUUGUGUGACAAUGCAAAAAGGAGUUUAUCACUGAUGAUCAUGUUAGCUAAUUGGCUUGAUGGUUGGUUUACCUUGCAGUAGUGUGGUUUGAGGAGAAUUAGUGCUUGGCCCAAAUCCUUGCACACUUUUUUGAUGAUCGCACAUUCAUGUUACUGUUUAAGCAAAUCAAUCUUUGAUCAAAGUAGACAGCCUACAACCAACAACUCAGUUGAAUCCAUAGUGGCAUAGUCCCAUACUCAGUGUUAUGUGUGGCUGGUUGAAUGAACAACACCAAUUGGUUAAAAAUGCAGUCAUCUUACAUUUUGCAUAUCUCUAAUUGAGCAAUGGUAAAACAACUUUCCUUAGUCCAAUCAUAUCAGAUUGGACAAACAAAUUAAAUUAAGAUCUGUCCUUGCUCAAAACAGAUCAGAUUGAACAAAUCUAUCUCCUUUUUUUUGGGUUUCCUUUUGGUUGUCACUCUACAUGGUACAUGUAGUUCAUCCUUUUUUUUAUAAUGCAUUAUAAGAAGGCAAUGCUUUUACUGAGCUAAUUACAAAAUUUCCAUGCAGGGCCUUCGUCAUUAUGCAACACCAUCCAGUGAAGCAGUGGGCUCGGAAUUGGAUGCACCCAAGGUGAAGCGUAAUCGAUCAAGUAUCUCAAAGAAAAGCGGAACAGCCAUGAUGCUUCCACUCCAUCUCCAUUACGAAGAUGUACUUCGUCAGGAUCUGUUGCUCAAACAGAAUCAUGCCAAUAUCAUGCAAGUUCCUGGAUUGUAUGAGAUCAGAUUAGUACCAAAAGCAGGUUCUGAUUUGAGGGUCCCAAUCGGAAAAUUGGCAAUGGAGAUUUUGAGCGGCCAGAGAUUCAAAGAGGCACAAGUUGACCCUUUUGCUAAAGCAAGAAAGUCUGCUCGAACCAAUCCAUUCAUUGGGCAGGCAAAGACAGUGGCAGCGUCUUUGCACGACAGAGUGUUCUCCGAGGGCAUGCAAUGUACAAUUUCUUGGUCAGAAUGUUGACAGUGAUGUCCAUGCUCGAUUCUCAGGCUGAAAUUCGGGAAAACACCAUAAAAUUCUUCAUGGAGACGGAGUUCUGUGAGUUCUCCCCGGAACUGGAAGACCACUUUGAGAUCUUUGAGCAUAUCUGAGGGUUCAACGUAACUAUUGUCACUUUGGCCGACACAAAAGAUGAGACCUCACUGCUGUGGAGCGGCUUCAUGCUAAAUGAUGAGGGGGAAACCAAGUAAGGUAAUACGGUAAUAGUGCCUAUCUUUCUCUACGCUGUAAUAUCCCUGACAUUGUACUUUCUGCCCUGCUUGAACUGAACCUUCAGUUGACUGUUUGGCAGGGGCUGAAGGCAGUCGCUGAUGUCAAAAUGGUUCUGGAGUUUUGGUGGUUCUUGCUCAAGGAGUAGAAUGCAGCAUCCAUCAGUUUUGUAGACUGAAUGAAGCCUGCGUGAUUGUUAUUUCUUAUUUGUAGCGAUGUAUGGAGCUCAUGUUUGAUUACUACAUCUAGUACUAUGGACUUAAUAAUCUAGGCUCUAAAAGUGUCUUUCGCUUAUUUCUGUGGUUCCUGAUGUGGCAGUAAUAUAGAAUGCUCGUUUCUGUUUGUCAAAAACAUUACAAGAGAGGGCAAUGAAACGGAGCUCAUCUUUACUACAUGUAGUACUGUGAACUUAUUAUUAGUUCAAGUUCCAUUUUGCUUGUCUCUGGCUCCUGUCCUGUAACAUGGAAAGCCUGGUUGUUUCUCGAAAUCACUGUAAUAGGGCAUAUUUCCUUGUCUUACAGAUCUUUUUUUUUAAAAAAAAACUGAAGCCCCAUCGCAGAUCUUUUUGUUAAUUUGUUUGAUCCGCUUAUGGUCCGGUGUUCCAACCUGAGAAAUUAUGCAUAAGGAGAAUUUAUAACCUUUUCUUUUCAGCUGGAGGGAGAGCCGCAGAGGGUCAACCCCUGCCGGGGAGCACGAAACAGAGCUCGGGUCUGCUCCCAUGGCCAAGGAGCUAGAUUUUGAUAGGAAUUUGGAACUCUUGGAAGAUGGUGGGAAAAAAUUAGAAAGAUACGGUGGGCACCGAAGCAGGAAGACGGGCAAAAGUGCACUGAUCCUGUUUGUUAGCCAUCAGAAGGUGAGAGAGGUAUAAAGGAGGCAUAUAAUUAGAGUUUGCUCAUGGUUUUAUACUAGAGGGUAGGUGGGUUUGUAUGGACGUUAACAAUGGUAGAAAAAUUCACAUUCGGCCAAAUUUUGGAUCGGUUUGGUUUUAUUUUGAUGCUCACCAAAAUGGGUAAAUUUCAGGUUUCUUUGGACUGAAUUGUAGAGCCCUACUUCUAUGCAUUAAAUGAAGUGCAAUGGGAAAGCUACACCUUGAUUUCCACGAUGAAUAAUUAUUGCCAAAAGACUUUCUAAGGUCCUGUUCAGUUCCCCCAAACUCCCAACUUUGACACUACGCAAAAAGAAGAUUCCCCAUCAUAUCAAACUUACGGUACAUGCAUGGAGUACUAAAUGUAGAUGAAAUCAAAAAACUAAUUGCACAGUUUUGUUGUACUUUGUGAGACGAAUCUUUUGAGCCUAAUUAGCCAAUAUUUGGACAAUAAUUCACAAAUACAAACGAAACGCUACAGUGUGCUACAGUGCUAUAACAGUGAUUUUGCAUCUUCAAAGUUGGACAACUAAACAAGGCCUAAGUAAAAUGGUCGAGGUCCAUAAAUGUUAGAUGAGGAUUGUUUAGACUUGAGCAACGUUAGAGGGUGUUUGGAUCCAUGGAUUAAUUUAUAGUUCAUGUCACAUCGGAUGUUUGUAUACCAAUUAGAAGGACUAAACGCGAACUAAUUAUAAAACUAAUUGCAUACAUGAGGGUUAAUUCACGAGACGAAUCUAUUAAACCUAAUUAAUCCAUAAUUAACACAUGUUUACUGUAGCACCACAUGGGCUAAUCAUGGACUAAUUAGGUUUAAUAUAUUCGUCUCACGAAUUAGCCCUUAUUUAUGCAAUUAGUUUUAUUAUUAGACUAUAUUUAAUACUCCUAAUUAAUGUGCAAACAUCUGAUGUGAUAGAGAUUUAGUUCGGGUAUCCAAUAGAUUUGUCUUGCAGGGAGUACUAAAAAUCAUACCCCAAGACACAUACCCAAAGAGAUAGGGAUGCUAUUGAAUCUAGCAGUUUUAGAUUUGUCUGAAUGGCUCGAUUCCCCCGAGCCUAGGAGAAAAAGCUAAAAUAAUACUUGGGUUUCUAUAGAAAUCUCAUACAAGGACCCAUUCCUCAGAGUAUAGGAAACCUUACGGGACAGAGCUCUCUGAUCCUUUCCGAUAACUAGAUAGCCGGUUCUAUUCCUCCGACCAUAGGAAACCUUACCAAACUCAACCUGCUAAGCUUGUACACCAACCGAAUUGCCGGUUCCAUUCCUCGAACGAUAGGGAACCUUGAUCAGCUGAACAUUUUAGAACUUUAUGACAACCAGAUUGCUGGUGAUAUGCCCAAUGAGAUGGGCAAUCUCAUCAAUGUCGUCAUCCUGUACCUGGACGGCAACAAGAUUUCAGGAUCAAUCCCAGCGACUUUUGGGAACCUGACAAACAUGAGAAACCUGAGCUUGUUUGAUAACCAGCUGUCAGGGACUGUCCCGCGAGAAUUCGCGAACCUCACAGGUAUGGUCAAAUUCAGCAUAGGGAACAACUCCAUCUCGGGAUCUUUCCCGUCAGACGUGUGCAAGGGAGGACGGCUUCAGAUGUUUGUUGUCUGCAUGAACAACCUAACUGACCCUGUUCCGGCAAGCUUAAGGACAUGUAACAGCUUGACGCACAUCGAUAUUAGUUUCAACAAAUUCACGGGUGACAUAUUUGUUGCCUGUAGCGAACAUGAUUCAUUAGAUUAUAGUUCGUGAUUUUGGUGAUUGAGUGACAACAUAUUCAUUGGGCGUAAUGUCUUGUCUAGUAUGUAUAUUGUAGAUUUUUUAGUCCUAAGAAUGCAAAUCGAACCAUGGUAAGGUCCAAAUCAUAGUAUUUAAGUAUCCAAGCUAUAGUAUUCUUGAUAUCCAAAUCAUGGUAUUCAAGUUUCCAAGCUAUGGUAUUCAAGUGACCGAGCUAUGCUGUCUAGGAUUAUUCUGUGGUAUUCAAGCAUCCAAAUGACAGAGCAUCCAAGUGACGGUAUGUUUGGUGCUUGCAAUGGACGAGUUAAAGAAAAAAAAAGUACCAUCAGAUGUUCCGACGGUUCAUCGGAGCAAGUGUUGGAGUGAGCAUCGGACGAAUUGGUACAACUGCAUGCGGCAACCUGAGUCAAGACCUUUGGAUGUUCCGAUGCCCAUCAGAGCAAGCGUUGGAGUGAGCAUUGGACGAAUUGGUACAAAUGCAGGCGGCAACCUGAGUCAAGACUAUUGGAUGCUCUGAUGCCCCAUUUUCAAGAAGCGUCGGAUGAAUUCUGAGGUGAAUGCGCGGGAAGCAGAGGAAACCCUAGACCAUCGGAUAUUCCAAUGCUAGGUCAAGAGUAGCGUCGGAUGAAGCAUAUUUACUUUGGAAUUGUCCAUAGAGGUUUUGGGAGAAAACCCCUCAGCACCGGAUGUUCCGAUGGUGCCAUCGGAGGAACCAUCAGAUGAAUUUUGGAUGUGUCAGUGAAGAACUUGGGCGUGGGGAGGCCAACGGCUUUGCACCGGAUUUUCCGAUGCAUGCCAAAAUAGACCAUCGGAACAUCCGAUGGUAUACUUUAGCUAGCCGUUGGAGCAACGGCUCUUUGAUGCCUUGGGCUAUUUAUACCCCCUCCACUCGUCCAUUUGGAGUUGCUGGAGUGUGCAGGAAUCCAUUGGAGAUCAAGACUCAUCAAGAACACAUUCAAGCCACCAAAAGUGCUUAAGUGAUUUAUCAGUCUUAGCACAAGCUUAGGAGAGUGAUUAGUGCUAGGAUAGGCCUAGAGAAAGAGAGAGUGCAAGGUGUACCUACCUUGUGAUCGGUUCUAGGAGUGAACCAUAGUUACAAAGUGUGCCGGCACCUUGGAGUCUUGGUGGCUCACCGGCAAGUCUUCGACCCUCCGACUUGGUGUGGAGCGGCGUUGACGAUCGUGUGCGGGGGACAUGGAGACCCCCUUCCUUUGUGGAGAAGCUUCUUAGUGGAGACCGCAUCAAGGCGACUGGGGAACUUGAUGUGAGCCUUAGUGGCUAACCCUUUAUGGUAAGUCAAGGGGUGUCCCAGAGAGACUUGGUAACCGGGAAGCAAUACUCUUAUGUCAGUGCUUCAACAACGUGAGCUAGUGGUGGUUUAGUGCUUACCGAUACCACGGGAUAAAUCAUCGUGUCAAGAGUUUACUUCUCCUCAUCCUCACCUCUUACGUUUCUGUAUUUCAUACUUGUAACUUGUGUGCCUUUACUUUCUUAGUGUAGUAUCUUGCCUGAAUUGGCUCUAGGUUGCAAAACUUAUUUUGGGAUGAGGGUUUUACACUAGAUCAACCAUAGUUGCACAUCUUGAUAGUAUGAUCUAGUUUAAAUUUGAUGUAAAAGUAGUAGAAGCUAUAGGUUAACGUUUUAAGUUGCCUAAUUCACCCCCUCCCCCUCUUAGACUAGGAGUACCGAUUCCUUACGGUGCCUAUCCCCAUCUUAUUAAAGCAAACUUGAGAUCAAACAACCUUCGUGGGGAGCUCACCCCAAACUGGGCAGCAUCCACCACCAUGAUUAUGUUCAACGCAGGAGAAAACAUGAUCACCGGAAGAAUACCACCCGAACUGUCGAAACUGACCAACUUGGAAUCGCUUAAGCUCUAGUCCAAUUUUCUCACUGGUGAGAUACCACCUGAAAUUGGCGACUUAACCAACCUUUACACACUCCAUUUAACAAAUAACCAGCUGUCAGGGCCAAUACCUUCUCAGUUUGGUCAACUAAGCAACUUGCAGUUACUUCAUUUGGGUUUGAAAAAGUUGAGUGGGCAAAUUCCAGAGGAGCUAGGAAGAUGCAACAAGCUACUGUCCUUGUACCUGAACAACAAUAGCUUGACUGGAAACUUGCCAGGUGCAAUAGGAAAUUUGGUGAAUCUACAAAUUAUGUUGGGUGUCAGCAGCAACAAGCUUAGUGGUAGACUGCCACGGCAGCUUGGGAACUUGGCAAUGUUAGAAUCUUUAAAUCUCUCUCACAACCAAUUCUAGGGAGGUAUACCGCCCAUUUUUGCAAGUAUGGUUAGUCUGAGAACCCUAGAUGUCUCAUACAACAACUUGGAAGGACCACUGCCAACGGGGCUUCAUCUGCAAAAUCUAUCAAUAGCUUGGUUUGUCCAUAAUAAAGGUCUCUGCGGCAAUCUCAGAGGCUUCCUUCCACUUACAACGCCAGACAUCAUAAGGGGAAAGAAAAAUUCCAUUCUCUGAUGAUUGCAGUUCUUGUCCCAGUGGGUGCUGUUAUUGCACUUACAAUUGUUGCCGCUGUAAUGUUUUUCUACAAAAAGGAGAAGCAGCAAGAAAGGGUUACUACUGAAAUAAGAGAAGUAUUCUCCGUAUGGAACUUUGAUGGGAAACUAGCAUUUGAGGAUAUUGUCAGGGCAACUGAGAAUUUCAGCGACAAGUACAUCAUUGGAGUGGGAGGAUAUGGCUCCGUGUACAAGGCACAACUCCAGGAUGGACAUCAAGAGGCCGUGAAGAAGCUUCACCCAACUGAAGAGGAGAUUGAUGAUGAAAGAAGACUUCAUGAUGAAAUUGAAAUCUUAGUAAAGAUUCGACAACGAAGCAUUGUCAAGUUAUAUGGGUUUUGUUCCCACCCACAUUACAAAUUUCUUGUCUACGAUUAUAUGGAGAGGGGAAGCCUUUGCGCUGCCCUACAACAAGAGGAUGUAGCCAAGGAGAUGGAUUGGACAAGAAGAAUUGCUCUUGUAAAGGAUGUGGCUCAUGCUAUAUCGUAUUUGCACCAUGAUUGCAGCCCACCAAUAAUACAUCGAGAUAUAACAAGCAAUAAUAUAUUGCUGGGCAGGAAUCUCAAGGCACACGUUUCAGAUUUCGGCACUGCAAGAAUUCUAAAGCCUGAUUCAUCAAAUUGGAGUGCCCUAGCAGGAACAUAUGGCUACAUAGCUCCAGGUAUGUCAAAAACUUUUUGUCUGUCAACCGCUAACUGCUACUAGUCUUCUUUGAAAUCAAAUAAGGCUAAUACUCUCAUUUAUUUGGAAUAGAGAUGUCGUACACAUCUGUGGUGACAGAAAUGUGAUGUUUUUAGCUUUGGUGUGGUUGUGCUGGAGGUGCUAUUGGGAAAGCAUCCAGGAGACCUACUUCAGUCUCAUUUAGAGGAUCAUAUGUUAGUCAAGGAAUUUCUCGACCAACGGCCUCCCCAACCAACAAAAAUAGAGGAGAAUGAUGUGACUGAACUAGCUCAAGUAGCACUGGCUUGUUUGCAAGCUUCUCCUCAAGCACGACCAACAAUGAAGGAGGUUUACCAAGGGCUAAACAAGUCUGGAUCUUGACUAUAAAUAUACUUACACAAGGCCGGCCAACUAAAGGAUGCAUAAAUGUGUUCCAAAGGACUUGCUGCAAUGUUACUCAAUUAUUUUUUUAAUCAAGGAAAAUAUCCGGUCUUAAAUAUUCACGUGUGAAUGUCUAUAACCACAAAGAAAUAAAUCUGGCUACAUAGCCAGAUGAUACAUAAGUACUUGGACUCCAAAUCCUCUACACAGAGGCACUCAAAACAAAAAGAAAGGAAGCUAAAGACUAAGCGAGAAAAUAAAGACUAAGCUUCAAUCUCCUUUCAAACUUGAAUUGUCCUCAUGCAGCAACUCACGGAGCAACAGUCCGUCGUCUCUCGUCUACUUAAAAACAGUUGAUGAUAAAACAUUACUGCCACAAUAUAAGCAAUCUCGACCAUGGCAUCGCAGGGCUCAACAACUCCUCCAUGGUGACGCCCCGAAGAGGGAAGCGACGUAAAGAUGCUGCCGCCGCUAGAACCAGCCAAGUAGUUCAAAGGUUUUCACCUGAAGAAGACGGCAAUAUCCUUCCAACGACGCAUUGAGGAGGGAAUGCACAAUAUCACCGCCGCCGUCGACGAUCAAGUAGAGCUUUCACCCAAAAGACCUGCCAUGAGCCCAAUCCGCUGCACCAUCAGUUCCGGCGAUGUGCGCGUCAACUGCGACCUGCCGUAGGCAGCCACCCUAGGGAACCGCGCGCCCACUGCGGCCUGCCGAGAGCCUGGCGUCCCCUGGCCGCGCGCCGGUCGCGGGCACAGCCGCUGCCGCGCCACGGAAGGAGGGACGCCGUGCGCUAGCCGCGGGCGCCGCCGCAACCGUGCCACGGAGGGCGCCGGGUCACGCCGCUCGCCGCCCGCUGGGCCCUGCCGCUCGCUGGCCGCACGCCGGGCUCCGUCGCCGCUGCCGGGAGGCACCGCACGGCCCCGACGUGCCGCUGCCCCGAGGCAGCAGAUCCGGCGGCUGGGGGUGCGGAUCCGGCCAUCCACUUGUGGAUCCAGCGGCGCACCGCUGGAGACAGCCGCCGCCGCCAUGGACGACCAAAGAGAGCACGAGGGGGAGGGAGGAAGGAGAGAAGGAGGGAGGGGCGGUGGAGCUCCGCCGCCGCCUUCCUAUUUGUGCAUUUCUUUGUGGAAUUGAGGCAGAUACUUCCUUGUACUAUCAAAGAGUGGUUGAUAAUUUUAUCUAUAGAACUGACAAAAUGUGUACUUGACUUUUCUCAUUAUCUAUUUAAAUGUAACUGAACUGGUUCUUGAAAAAGAGUGAAAAAUAAGAACAUUACGUGUGCAAACCACAUGACCUUUCUUCCAACAAAAGACCAACCGCACAAGCUUUAUUAGAAUUCGAUCAUCAGCUACGUCAUCUACUUAAACACAAUAACGCAAAACAGAGCCCAUAAGCCAAAUAACAAGAUGAAAAUGCAAGCAUAGAAGUAAAACGAGGCAUCUACGCUGACCAUCAGGGGAUUGCUCGGCGUCGCCUCCCUUGCAUCCAGAAUCUUGCCGAGUAUUUCCCUGACAACGGAGGGGCAGCUCCUCGCCAGAUGCUCGACGUCGUCGGUCGCCAUGACUGCCCUCGUGUUCCUCCCGGAGGCGAUGAACUCCAGGCACUUCUUCUUGAGCUUCAAGCACUGGUGGUGCUCCGCUAGCGCCAACAUCGGCAACACCGUGCUCACGCUGACACUGUGCCUGCACAGCUUGUUCUCGGUGAGUGACUUCAGAUCCUUGAGGUUGAAUCGAUCCGCCGCCACGAGCAGGUCCUGGGCCAACGCGGGGGCUUCUUCCCGUGCGGUCGCCGUCGUCGCCGUCGCCGGCAGUGUGUCGGUGUAGAUGUAGUGCAGCAGGGCCUCGAACGCGUCCGGGUGCAUGUCGCAGAUGCGGAUGUAGCCGGUGGUCUUCUCCUUGUCCGGGCCGAAGAAGUCCGCCAUGAAAACCGGUGACCGGGCGGCGAGCACGACCUUGUGCGCGGCGAACACCCUGCCGCAGACCUCGAAGUCCACGUCCGACCCUGCCUCGGUCUCGAGGAGGCGGCCGAGAUCCGCCGGCAGCCCGGACAUGGAACGCAGCGCCCUCACGGCCGGUGGCGCCGCCGGCAGUGGGGAAGACGGUGGAGGCGCCCUGCUUGCUCCCGCCGCCGGCGGUGCUGCCUGCUGGACGGAUGGUUGCGGCGGCGAGGGCCUCGCGACGGCCGGAGUGGCGCCGGCGGUGGGGAAGACGGUGAAGUCGCACCGGAUCACGAAGCGAUUGUGAUUGACGACGAGGUCCAAUUUAUCGAGGUCCUCCCGCGAGACGAAGCGCUCGCAGCCGAGCGUUUCCUGCCGCCCGCCGCCAAUGGCGCCGGCGACCGUGGAGGACACGAGGCGCGGCGCCGCGCAGCCCACCUUGUGCAGCGUGAACCUCGACUCCACGCGGACGACGUCAUCGUCGGCGACGGGUCCGGCUCCGGCGUCGUCCAGAAGGAGGUAGACAGAUACGGAGCCGGUGGUGCCGGCGAGCCUCCCGUUGGGGUAGAAGGCGAUGCGCCAGGAGUGGCCGCCGGCGGCCACCGCGAUGGACCUGAGGCACCUGCCAUUGCCCAGCUUCUUUGUCUCCGAGUAGCUGUCGACGAGCAACGAGAGCCUUCUGUCGCACCGCGACAUCGCGGUGCCCGGCGGCGGCGGCGGUGGCGCCGCCAUGGCAGAACCCUAGAGGCGGACGUUGCCACGAAUAAACCACGCCUGUAGAGAUGGGAGAAACAGGAAUUUUUAUAACAGAAGAUGGCCACAUUUUGAUACGCUAUCAUCAAUCACGCGUGAUCUCCAAUCUCUAUCUCUAUCUCUAUCUCUAUCUCUACUCCUACUUAUACUCCUACAAAAACGCAAAGAGGCGACGCGUCGUACGUCGGGGGUCCUCCGCUCCAUCGUCCCUCGCCUCCUCAACCAAGGCCGCCGCCGCCUGAUUCUGCCGCUUCCCGGGCUCCGUCUCCGCCCCAACGAGCUCCGCCGCCCCUAUUGGGCUCGCGGAGGCGGAGGAUGCCAUCCUGCGGCGCGCCCUCGAGGUGCGCCGCGCGGUGGCCGCCGAGGCGCUCGUGGCCGCGCUCAGCGGCGGGAAGGUCGGCGGCCUGACGUACGUCAAGAACCUCACAGCGCGGAUGGGGCCGUUUGUCGACCGCGUCGUCGUCGAGGCCGCCGCAAUGCGGCGGGACCGGCCCGACCUCGCGCACAUGUCCUUCAACGCGCGGGCGAAGGCGUACAUCCAGGAGUCCGGCCUUGUCGAGCUAGUCAAGUAAAGAUCCCAGCUUUGCAAUCCUUCAUCUGUUUCCUUUGUUUAUUUCUGUUCUGUUUGCACAAGAAUUGUGAUAAUUCGAAUACCAGAGGCAUUGCAAAUCAUAAAAAUGCAAGUUUGUAGUUUAUACACGUGAAAUUUUCCUAUUAUGAUUGUGAUGAUUACAAUUACAUACUUCAGGUGGUUCAAGCACAAUUCGAUGACAUAUCCCCAAAUUGCCAAAGUUGUUUGCGCUUGUUCUGGCGAUUUGGGGAAAGUAAGGACGAUGAUAAAGUGGCUGAGGUCAAUUUAUGUAAAAGGAGAUUUUUUGGGGCGUGUCCUUGCAAACGGUGGAUCUUUUCUGAACCGAAGCUUUGAAGAGUUGGAAGAUAUUAUUGGCUACCUGGAAAGCUGUGGCGUGAGGAGAGACUGGAUUGGUUAUGUGGUCAGUAGAUGUCCCCAGCUGCUGAAUCUGUCCAUGGAUGAGUUGGAGACACGAGUGAGGUUUUAUACAGAUAUGGGUAUGGAUGAGAAAGACUUUGGCACGAUGGUCUAUGAUUAUCCAAGAGCUCUUGGAUUUUUAAGCUUGGAAGAGAUGAACAGUAAGGUGUUUGCUUUACGUUUAGUUUUACUUCUGUGCUAUAUUCGUCGCACACUGCACAUUGGCAGGAUUAUUAGCCUCUUUUCUUUUAUGCAGUUCAUUUUCUGUUCCUCGUUAUGAAAAAAGGUAAAGAAUUGAUCUUCAGAAUGGUUGAAGCUCUAUUUAUUUCAGCUCACUAAUCACUAUGAAAAAAAAUAGGAUGAACAAAACUGAGUCGCGGUAUGCCUUUCGCCUGCUGAAAAAAUAGGAUCAAUGUGCUGAUGAGUAAUAUGUGGUCAUAGGUCUAGAGUUCCAUAUGAAAUAAUCUAGCUAUCUACUUUGAAAGUGUGAACUGCUAAGGAACUCAUUGACUAACCUUCCUUGUACCUUUGGAAGGUUUUUGAUAAACUAAUUAGUUAGUUGAAUAUUAUAUUCAGUUCUUGACUUCUAUUUUUCUAGUUGGUAAUGAAAUAUCAUUCUGGUUCACAGGUUCAAUAUCUGAAAGAGUUUGGUUUGAGCACUGAAGAACUUGGGAGGCUACUGGCUUUCAAGCCACAACUCAUGGCCUGUAGCAUUGAAGAAAGGUGGAAGCCUCUUGUGAAGUAUCUGUAUCACCUUAACGUUUCACGGGAUGGCAUGAAGCGAAUGCUGUUGGUCCAACCUACAAUAUUCUGUCUUGAUUUGGAGACAGUGAUAGCACCAAAGGUAACUUCUUAGUUGCUUUGAAAUAUAUUUGCAUCUUUUUAGCUGUUACACACUUCUUUUCUACUUUUGGUAUUCACAAAAAAUGUUAUGAUUUGUUAAGCUGCUCCAUAAAAAUAGUUUGAUUUUUCAGACUUGCUCUUCAAAGCUCCAAUAGGACUAAGUAUUUAUUUAUUUCUGCAAAGUGUGCCACUGGGAUUUAGAGCUCUGAAUGUUCUGAAGUCAAUUAAUAUGACUCAUCUACCUCUAUGCAAAAUUCUGUUUCAGGUACAAUUUCUACAAGAUAUUGGUGUACGGAGUGAUGCAAGUGGCAAUGUGCUUGUGAAGUUCCCUCCUGUAUUAACUUAUAGCCUAUACAAGAAAAUACGCCCAGUGGUGCGUUCUUAUAUCUUGUUAUUAUUCUUUUCAGUUUUGAUAAUAUUGAUUCAUUUUGUUUGGAUUUUAUUACAUCGGCUUUUACUAUACUUGGUUUCAAUAGGAAAUUAGUGUACAAAUUGUAGGAAUUUUAUUUCACUGACAGUUGGGACAGUACAAAUAGAACCAUAGUAAGUACUGAGUAGUACAGUGAGUCAAAUCUCAGAAAGCCUCAUUCUAUCUAUAGCAUUAACUUCAUUUUUUUUAUAUAAUUGGGACCUUUGAAUAACGAAACUAUUUGACUAUUCAGUGUGCAGUUACUUAAAUAAUUCUCCGUAUUGGUUCAUCAUGAUGAGCUAACACAUAAGCAGUCAAUUUGUGCAUAUACUAAUUGGUCAGACUCCUUCGAGUGAUCUGUUCCUUCUGUUUGUUUCCCCUUUCUUUUCUCCUUUUCUUCUCCUCUGUACAGAACUUUUGUUUUUCAUAUUUAAUAAUAUUACUAGCAUAAAUGUCCGUGCGUUGCUACGGUUUCUUACCUGCUCCCAAGUUGUCAUCCGCUAGCUCCUAGUUUGCUUGCUUCACUUUCUAAUCUAGUUUAGAAUGUUUCAUAAUAUUUGUAUACAUCUCUGAUAAUAAUAAGCGGACAACUCCUUUAAAUUCUACAUGGCCUAUUUGAACGGUGGAAUCUCAAUUUUUAUACAUACGCAAUGUGUCCUACAUCUGGUUCAAACAUGCAUUAAAACUUCUAGUAAGAUUCAGUACUAAUGCAACUUCUGUCUUUGCUUUUAUGAAUAUGCAAGUUAAACAUAAGAGAUUGUCCACAAAACUUUCAACCUAUAAAAAGAAAAAAACUACAAGGCUAAAAUAAAUGCUCAGUCCUUGAUUAUAAUAUGCCCAACAAUUCAUGCUUGGGCUUGACAGCCUGACAUCAUGGCCUAGUUGCUCCAAGAAACAUGAGCAAUCAACCAAUGUAAGUAUCCUUCUGCAAUUUGCUCCUCGUAAUAUAGUCAAUGAUGACCAAAUGUUCUACCUACAAAUUAAAGACUCGGCCAAAUCCGCAUUGGAGGAUUCGACAUUUCUUUCCAGACUUUUUUGCGGGACCCACAUCAGGUCGGCAAUCCAUGGCAGCCACCGGCUAGCACCUUCCUGCCACCAUACCCCUGGCCUCGCAUGGCCGCCGCAGGACGGGGUGCGAAGAGGAUGGGUCGCUACCCCUUGAGCUCACCGUGGCCACAUCGCAACGACUUCGCCCAACCUCCCAACGCCGCUCCUCGAGCUCACCGUUGCCGUGCCGCCGCCCGCCUGAACCUUGCCCCCGACCUUUGCCGCCCCUCAAGCUCCCACUGCGGUCUGUGCAUUUGCAGUGCUGCCGUCCGCACGUGCUUCCCGCCGCAGCCCGCGCGUCCGUGGCGCUGCAACUUGCAGUCGUCACCACUGGUGUUGGCCAUGGCGAACAUGACCGGGUUGACGGUGAAGAGCAGCACAAAUCGGGCUUCCUGAUGUUGAGCGUGAGCUCCCUGCAACCCAAACCGAGCUUCAGACACAAAGCUUGAGCUCUCCGCUUCCAAAAUUGAUCUUCCAGAUGCCAAGCUUGAGCUUCCCACUGCCUGUGAGGAUGGACUAGAAGGGUGCGACUACCGCCGCCCGCGGUGUCGGCGCAGGAAGAGGAAGGGGCAACCUCCCUCGACGCUUGCGCUCUGCAGCCACCGUGGCCAUGGCCUUGUGCCGUAGAUUUCUUGUAUCCCGCGUCACUGGGAGAGUUGAGGGAGGGGGAAUCGUAGCCUGUGCCUUCGGCCGCCGUUGCCUGCAGCGAUUUGCACCGGAAGCAAAGAGGCUGCCGGAAAGAGGAGGGGUAGGCUCGCCGCUUGCCGGUUUUGCUUGGCUUGGGCUCACGAAGGGAGUGCAGGACGGAGAAAAAGAAAGAAGACGAUAGGUGAGAGAAAACGAACUACAGCAGUUUAACUCCUAGGACUGCAGGUUGAUUACGAAAAAGUUGAGGAAUUUUUUUGCAAAAUGACCACGACGGUUGGAAGAAACAACCGCACUUAAUAUUAGGUAUAGAUAUCCAGGAGGGGCUUCUUUCAAAAAGAACUUUGUGCAACAUUUUUUCAGUUAAUCUAUUACAUAUAAAAGAUUUGAACCUAAUAUGCAUCUUUCAGCGAUGAUGCAAUACUUGAAAUUGAACAUCUCAAAUUAACAUCAGUAAAUUUGAUAACUGUCCUAGUGCCUUGUUUGAAAACACAAGUGUUAUGGUGGAACAAGGGACAUAAUUUUUUCAAAGUAGAGUGUUUGUUUCCAGAUUUUUUACUUUUACAUAUUCCUUCUGCUACUAAAUCUCUCUUACACGUGUGCAAACCGUAGGUUAUUUUUCUGUUGACGAAAGGUGGAGUAAAACAGGAUGACAUUGGAAAGGUUAUUGCUCUGGAUCCACAGCUCUUGGGCUGUAGUAUUGCACACAAGCUAGAAGUUAGUGUCAAGUAUUUCCGGUCAUUGGGGAUCUACCACUUUGUGCUCGGUCAGAUGGUUGCCAACUUCCCAGCACUUCUUAGAUACAACGUGGAUAUCCUAAGACCAAAAUACCAGUACUUGAGGCGUGUAAUGGUGCGGCCACUGAAAGAUCUCAUCGAGUUUCCACGGUGAGUUGGAGUUCAUGUUUUCUUCUAAAACAAAGAUAUUGAUAGCCUAAUUGAUGCCUAUCCUUGUGAGUUGUAAUUGAUGCCUGUCCUUGUUGUGAGUUGUGACCCUCACCCCUUGUGCCUCGCUGCUGGAUGGUUGUCAGGUUCUUCAGUUACUCCCUGGAGGACAGGAUAGAGCCUCGGCACCAAACACUGGUGGCCAACAGGAUCAACAUGAAGCUGCGGUACAUGUUGACUGGAUCUGAUGAAGAACUUGCAGAGAGGGUGCAGGAGGCCGUCGAGAGGAGAGCGAGAUUCGAAGCUGGAAAAGGUGUUGCAGAGACAAUUCCAGAUGCUCCAGAGACAUCUGAGGAGGAAGAAACUACAGAAGCAGCAGCAUGCUGAAACAGCGUGGAGGUAAAUUAGAUAGAUGUAGUAUUUCUGAAAAAAAAGAAAAGAAAAGAAAGAAAACAAUCAUAGCUUGCCUCCUUGCCUUGUACAUGUUCUGAAGGGAAAAAAACAGGUAUUUUAGAUUUUUUUUGAACUGUAACCCAGAAUGUAAAAGCACUAUGUUUGUAAUCCAUGAGCCAUGCCGAAUUAACAAAGAUAAAAAAGUAAAAUAUACGGCCGUCUGAACCUGUCACGGUGUCAUCUAGGUUACUAAACUUUCAAAAUGCAUUUUCAAGUGUUUGAACUUAUCUUAAGAUGGCAUCCGAGUCCUUAAACACUCAAAACACAUUUUCAAGUCUCUCAACUUAUCUCAGGGUGUCAUCCGAGUCUUUCAACUCUUAAAGUGUAUUUUAAGAUCCAUUAUCAAGUGCCAAGCAACACAUGCAUGAUCACUAGCAUUGCCAUCAGCGACAAAUGACAGGUUUUAGGAUUUGAAAAUGUAUUUUGAGAGUUUAGGAAUCCGGAUGAAACUUGAGGACAAGUUUGGGGGCUAAAUAUGCACUUUGAGAGUUUAAGCAUCUUGAGACAAGUUUGCGGAUAUGAAAAUGCAUUUUGAGAGUUCAGUGACCCGGAUAAAUACCAUCGUUGCUGUAUUUUAACUCUAGAUAAAAUUAUAGACAUUCUCUCAGUGAUCAAAAGUAAAAUCAUACACGUAUAAUAUUCAUGAAUACAUACAUGUGCAUACAUACAGAAUUACAAAACUAACAUAUGUAUGGAAAACUUUACACAAGAAUAGGGAUAAAAUGAAGCCAUCACAAGGAAAACACCAACUGACAACAGAACACAGACAUCUGUUUGAAACACUGCAGAGUGCGACGUAUGCGGCAUACGUGGCUUGCUUAAUUAGGCCUUGGGAGGUGGCGCCAGGAAGGGGAUUGUUGGCAUGCCGGGGAUGGACACGGACGGCAUCGGCGGCAGCGUCACCUUCGGCAUGCCAGGGAUCGGCGGCAGGGUCACCUUGGGCACGGCAGGCACGACG
rnacentral:lncRNA from 1 species